AAGAAAAAAAAGUUAACUUGUAAGUGACUGUAAAUUCGCACAAUAUAGGAGGGGUUAUUGGUUCAUUGAUUUAUAAGGAAUUAGAAAUCCAAACAAAAAUCAUUUGUUAUUCAAUCAUUGAUUUUAAAAUCCUAAUUAAAAUCAUGUGUUAUUAGUUCCAUGAUUUAUAAAUACUAGUUAAAAUCCUAUGUUAUUCGUUUUGUCAUUUGUUUUUGGAUUUGAGAAUCCAAAUUAUGUUUUAAAUGGAUUUGUAUGGAAUUGAAAGAGAAAAAUAGAAGGAUUCAAAUCCAUGGGUAAACACAUGUUAUUUCAAAAUCUAUAUAUCUUGAUUUCAUAAUUAAUAGAAAUUUCCAAAUCCUAUAUGGAUUUACAAAUUAAUAAACCAAUAACACCCCCAUAGACUUUCAAACAAAGUUCCUUAAACGUCUCUUUCCUUCCUUAACGGAACAAGUUGUAAUUGAGAUCGAGUCAACGGUCAAGUUCGAAUUCUCUACGGCUUCAUAAUUGUUCACGUCGUACACGGUUACAUGGAUAGGCUUCAGACAACUAAGAUGUCUUCCCCACCAAAAGCAAGCUGGAUUUCAAUAAUUCUCCAUUUUAAAAAUUAAAUUUCACUACAGGAAUUAAGGUUAUUAAUAGCAUAACAUUAUAGUGUUUUUAAAUUUAAUGUUAUAAUUGACUAUAGAGAAACUAUAGAUAGCGUUUCCCAAAAGCUAAACGCUAUGGUAGAUUGAGCGCGAAAAAUGUGUUGAGAAUGGCGCUUAGUUUUGGUUCUAUUAUAGCAUAGGUCAAAUUAAAACGCUAUUGUAGGUCUAACCGGGAAACAAAAUUUUCAUUGGCUCCAAAUUAGGAAGAAGAAGACAAAAAAAAAAAAAAAAAAAUUUCUCUCUUUCCUCCUAUCGUCUCUUUUCUCUCGUCUCUCUUCAUCUCUGCAAGUCGAAAUCUAAAACACCAUAGAUCCCAAUUAGUUUGAUUCUUCCACUAUCGAUCCCUCUCAGUCUAAUCUCUCUCAUAUCUAAACCCUAGGUCUCGAUAGCCAGUUUUAUUGUCUGUCUACAACUUUCUUAAUCUUCACCUGCAUCAAUCCAAAUCAAAUUGAUACAUAAGGUAAAAUAUAUGUAUGGGUGUUCUUUUUUCUAAACGAUUUAGUAUUUAUUUCAUGUUGGGUUUGAAGUAAUUAGGUUUUGGAUUAAUGUUUGGAAUCGUUUUCUUCUUAUGUGAGUUUGGUGAUCGACUUUCAAUUUGUGUUUUUGCCUAAUUUUGUCUGCGUUUAGAUUCAAUUUCAGUUGUCUGCGAAAGCAGCGAAGUGCAUCUACGAUCGAUUCAUCUCUCUGUUCAACGGUGGCGAAUCAGGUGUUCUUCCUGAAUCCGUGAUCUCAAUCUCUGCCGUUGAUCUCCGUAAGAUCGGUGUCUCCGGGAGAAAAGCAAGCUACCUCCACGAUCUAGCUGAUAAAUACAACAACGGUGUGCUCUCGGAUGAAUUGAUCAUGAAAAUGAGUGAUGAAGAGUUGAUUGAUAGAUUAACAUUGGUUAAAGGAAUUGGAGUGUGGACUGUUCAUAUGUUCAUGAUCUUCUCGUUGCAUAGACCUGAUGUUUUGCCAGUGGGAGAUAUUGGUGUGAGGAGGUUCUGAAAUUGUCAACAUUGCUCAGGUCAGAGCAUGUGCUUUGUCUAGUCAAAUCACGAACAAGAUCUGUAAAAUUUGGUUUAAAGCUAAUUGAUAUAUGUUUGCUCUUUUGUUGCUUCCAUCUUACAGAAGUUGUAAGAAGACUUGAAGUCUAAUAAGGAUGCUUAUCCCUUUGAUGAGGUAAAAUCUCAUUCUUCAUUGAGAUAGUCAUAUUCGUUUUUGUGUAUUCUUUAAAAAUCAUGAUCGACACUUCUAAUUUGAUAGAGAGGAGAGUUUAGAGUUGAUGUUACAUGUUCUCAAAAUCUUUAUAUUUCCCAACAAGAAAGAAACUUAGAAAUCUCAAUCGCUUUUGGCAGAUUAUCUAUUGCAAUAUUGGUAAUCCUCACCCUCUUGGUCAGCUACCUAUAAAGUUCUUCCGAGAGGUAAGCGAACAUUUUUGGUGCUUCUUUGUUAUGUCGUCAUUUCAGCCCCAGAGAUAUAACUUCUUCAUUUUUUGGUCAAGAUAUAACUUCUAUCAUCUAUAUAUCUCAGGUUCUUGCGUUGUGUGAUCACACAAGCCUCUUGGACGAGUCUGAAACACAUGGUUUGUUCAGGUAUUGACGCCAUUCUGAGGUUUUCCUUCAGCUAUAUACUUUAGCUUUAGGACAUGUAAUGGUUUAAGAUUGCUUCACAUUUGAUUUCUACUCCGCUAUCAGUACCGACGCAAUUGACCGAGCCUGGAAGAUUUUGGAUCAAAUUCCCGGAAGAGCAAGUGGUGCUUACAGUCACAGCCAGGUUUGUCAUCAGAGUCUAGUUAAAAGUCAUAAACCCUUCUUUGUAUAUGACCAUUAUGUUGCUGAAUGAUUCCUUUUUCUUCUGCCUCAGGGUAUCAAGGGAUUACGUGAUACAAUUGCAGCCGCAAUUGAAGCUCGUGAUGGUGAUACAAUUGCAGCUGCAACUGAAGCUCGUGAUGGUUUCCCCGCUGAUCCAAACGAUCUUUUCUUGACCGAUGGUGCAAGUCCAGCGGUAACAGUCAUAACAAAAACAUUUUCUCAUAGUAUUAGAACAAGUCCUUAAAAAGGGUACAUGCUAAAUUAAUUUUUUUUCUCCCUUCAUUCUAUAGGUUCACAUGAUGAUGCAACUUCUCAUAAGCUCAGAGAAAGAUGGAAUUCUCUGCCUGAUUCCUCAGAAUCCAUUGUAUUCUGCUUCAAUUACCCUCCAUGGUGGAUCUCUGGUAUGUUCAUCUAAUCAAAAUAUGGAAUGAUGUUGGUACACUUUUUUUUGUCAUUUUUCUUUAUCUUGAUCAUUGUUUUUCUGUUUAGGUUCCGUACUAUCUUGAUGAAGCAACAGGAUGGGGACUGGAAAUAUCUAACGUUAAGAAGCAACUGGAGGAAGCUAGGUCGAAGGGCAUCACUGUAAGAGCCUUGGUUGUCAUAAACCCCGGUAACCCAACAGGGCAGGUAAUAUCAGAUCUUCAAGACUUAGACUUGACGGUUUUGUGUUGACAGGUUACUAUGGAGAAUGUGGAAAAAGAGGAGGUUACAUGGAGGUUACCGGAUUCACUCCUGAUGUCAGAGAACAAAUAUACAAAAUGGCUUCUAUUAAUCUUUGUUCUAACAUCUCUGGUCAAAUUCUUGCUAGCCUUAUCAUGAGCCCACCCAAGGUAACACAAUACAGUUCUCUUCUAACAGGUUUUCGAUUAUGUUAUUGCAACAGAUAAAUGACUAAUCAGUCUCUUAUAUAUUUGAUCAGCCUGGUGAUGACUCAUAUGACUCAUACAUGGCCGAAAGAGAUGGGAUUCUCUCGUCAAUGGCUAGACGUGCAAAGGUUAGCUAAAGUGUGGAGGCCAAAUUCAGAAGUGCGAUUCAUCGCGAUGCACAAGGCACAACUGUUGCUUGGCCUAAUGACAAGAUAGUUUAUCUCUGAAACUUCUUAAGUACUAAGUUUUUUUCCUUUAUGUCAAACAAUUUGUUGUUUUAAGUGUCGAACACUUUGUGUUUUCUUUUAUAUACAUGCACUUGACUUUGUUUUCUCAUGUUACUAAUUAUAUGUUAUCUCUGGCAAAAAUAUAUUAAACACAAAAACACAUACUUAAAACAUUUUAAUUGGAAAAAAUUGAAUUAAUUAUUUUAAGGCAUGUACUUUAGGUUUCAAGUUAAAUGAUUUUAAAUAUUUUAAAGAUUUUUAAAAUGAUUUUCGAAUUUUGUAAAAAAAAGUUAAAAAAUAAAAGUAAAUAUAAACAAAUAUAACCAAAUAGCUCAAGACAUAAAUAUUUAAUUAUAAUAUUAAUAAUUAUAUAAAUAAUAACAAAGUUAUAAAUUUAAAGAGUUUAGGGUAUAGGGUUUAGGGUUUAUGGUAUGAAAUGUAUGGUUUAGGUUUUUCGAUUAUAUUUGUUUCAAAUAGUAAUAAUAUUAAUUAUAACAAAUAAUAACAUCAAUAAUAUUCAUAAUUAAAAAUAGUUUAGGGUAUAGGAUUUAGGGUUUGAAAAAACUAUAAAAUCUACCACUUAUUCCCAAUUCCUUUCAAAAUCUACCACAUUUCUUUCCUUCUUUCAACUCAUACCACAUUUUGAUGUAGAGUUACCAUUUUGCCCUCCCUGUUUAUCUUUCCAAUUUAUCUCUCCUUCCUAUUUAUUUCCCUUCCCUAUUUAUCUUUCCCUCACUCUCGAAACACGUGCACUUUAACCCAGAAACAUUAUAUCUCUUGAGACUAAACAAUUAACUUUCGUUUUUGUCUCCAUAUCUUGUCUCCGAUUGAAAAUUAUCUGUUGCGUCUAGAUCUUGUCCCCGAUUUCAUCAUCUUUCUAUUAUCAUGAAUCUCAUAUCUUGUCCACCAAUAGUUCUCAUUUAAGGGUUUCGAAUUUUAUUUAGAUUUUUCACCAUCUAUUUUGGUCCACAGAUUAGUUGAGCAUUAUUGUCUUCACCUACCCGGAUUAUUGAAUUUUUUUUCCUUUGAUUGCAAAAUAACAAAAUGAUCCAGUUGUCCCCGAGUACUAUUACUCAUUCGAAUAUGAACUUGUCUCCGAUCGAAUUCUAUUACUCAUUCGAUCUGAACUUGUCUCCGAUCUAAUUCUAUUACUCAUUCGAUAUGAACUUGUCUCCGAUAUAAUUCUAUUACUCAUUCGAUCUGAACUUGUCUCCGAUCUAAUUCUAUUACCCAUUCGAUCUGAACUUGUCUUCGAUCUAAUUCUAUUACCCAUUCUAUCUGAAUUUGUCUCCGAUCUAAUUAUAUUUACUCAUUCGUUCUAAACUUGUCCCCAUAUAACAUAUUAUAUAAAUAAAAUUAUAUGCAAUUGUAAACGUGCAACAUUUAUUGCAACUUGUCCUUUUAUCUGACACAGCAGUCUGUCCCUUUAUCUGACACACCAGUCUAUCACCAUCAAGGACAAUUUCGUCCACAAUUUGCAUGUGGCAAUGAAAUGUGAUAGAUUUUAAAAACUCUUUCCAAAUGUGGUAGAUUUUGAAAGCCAUUUUUUAAAAAGUGGUACAUUUUGCAAGAUUCCCUUAGGGUUUAGUGUUUUAAAUAGUAGCUAAUAUUAAUAAUAUAAAGUAUACUAUUAUAACAUAAAUGAAUUCUAUCAUUUUGUUAAUUAUAACAUCAUUAAUGUGUUUCAACAAUAUGAUUUACACAAUAAGAAGAUUAGUGUACAUGUAUUCUAAGGCAAUCAUAUGUGUUUCCUUCAAAUUUCUAAAAACGUUGCAAAAUAUUUUUUUAAAAUUGCGAAAAAAUUAUCUAAUCAUGUAAAUAACUCAUAAACAUAUUAAUUCGUCAAUAUAUAAAUUUUUAAAAAUUAUAUAAAUAGUAAAAACACAUUUUUAUGCAUAUAAACAAAAUAAGCCAAUCAUAAUGUUUCACUCGGAUUGCUGAUGUGGCGAGAUCUCAGCCAUUCAUCGGAUCUAAGACAAGAUCAAUUUACUCAAGCCAAUCAAUAAGUUAUACUCGGAUACAUGACGUGGCGACAUCUUAUCCGUUCAGAGGCUUUGGCGGUUGCAUGUUUAAGGUAAUCUCAUCCGUUCAUCGCCUAACUAAGUGUUUGGCGAGAUUCUCUUCAACCUCUCAUCCGUUCUUCACCAUUUUCUCUUGAGAACAAAAUUCACAAGAAAAUUAAUUCAGAUUAGGUCCGAUGAUUCAGAAAAAAAUUCUCGCAUCCUACUUCUUCAAACCUCAAAUUCAUUGCCAUCUCCGACUCGAAUCUGAGAGAACCAAAGAAGAAGACGAAGAAGAAGAAUGGUCUGUCGAAGGUACUAUAAUUUCACCUCUCUUCCUUUCUAGCAGUGCAAGCAUGACAUCUCUACCGUUGAUUGUCAGCCUUCUGGUCCCGCUUCCGGUAUGCUUGUUUUCGUCUCCGGUAAUCUCCAGCUCGCCGGCGAAGAGCACGCUCUUAAGUUCAGCCAGGUCUGUGUGUUGACUCUUUAUCCUAUGAGUUGGAUAACAGAAUCAGCUGCAAGCCACCUCGUACCAGCCAAGUUAAAAGCUCCAUUAUUAGCAAUGUUGAGAUCAAGCUGGGCAUGUAAUGCGUUAAAGUGAUCCACCAGAUUUGUGUACUCCACACUGUUUAGAAGUGCUAGACCCGGAUUGAUAAAAGCGAUGACACGAGUCAUGGCCAAAAUGCGCAAGAUCCUUCUCAUCUGAAAAAAAAAAAAAUGUCAAAAAGUAAUCAAAUAGAGACUAAAUUACAGAUUGAAAAGCAAAUAAACAAAUACCUCAUCAACAACAAAUAAAAUAUGUGGGUGAUGAUCAUAUAGGAAAUGGCCAAUGAUCUCCCUGUAAUCAAGCAUAUCUAAUAUUCGUUGAUUCAAAUCUGUGAUAGCAUUCAAGACCUCAUUGACUUCGUUAGUCUGGUUGAUAUAAUGUUGAGUCCACUCAGUGUUGUCAGCACACCAAGCAGGAAAAUGAUCUGGAAAUGCACCGCACUAAAAAAAAGAAAAGAAGCAAUAUGAUAAAUACAAUAGCAAAAAUUAUACAGAAGUAUUUAAUAUUCAAAAGAAAAAAAAAAGUAACCAACAUACCACAGCACAGUAGGUCUCGUUACAGACUACACAAUGUGCAUAAUAGACGCUCCCAUGUACAGAAACUGAGCAAGAAGGCUUACUAGUCUUUAUAGAGAGAUCAGUUAAAUUCCCUGAGUUUCUUCAUUCUCAUCAUACACAUAUAUGCCAUUCGUCGGUGUAUAAACCGAUCUAGAGAUGAAGAUGUCGUUACACCAUUUAUUAUAAAAAAUUUUGUUGAAUUUUUUUUUAAUUUACAUUAAUCGAAAAAAAUAAUAUAAAAAUCAGAAAUCAAAAGAUUUAAAAAAAAAAAAAAAAAAGAAACAAAACAUAUAGUCAUAUAAAACGGUGAGAGUUGCUUUGCUAAAAAAAAUAAAAAAAGGUGAGAGUUGAUUUAUUUAUUCCAAAAAAAGUUGGUUAAUGUCUUGAAAAUGAGAUUGUACAUAUAAGUGAGCUAACAUGUUUUUUUGAAAAAGGAGUUAAAAGCUCAAAUUAAAAAAAAAAUCUGGAUAAUUUUACCCAAAAAAAAAAAAAAAUUCUGGAUAAGCUCUUAAUUAAACAAAUAAAUAAAUAGUAACAACGGUUGAGAAUUAAAAAAUAAUUACAAUUGGUGAGAAUAAAUGGGCCUCAAUUGGGCCAAAACAAAAAAAAAAUGAGCACGUGGAAGAAAAGGGAAUAAGUAAGUAGUCGUCUUCUUCGUUUUGGAUUUGGCCGGAAACUAAGAACAAACCGAUUCAGCCGUUUGGAAUAAUCAAUAAUGAGGACGAUUUCCGAUCUUCCUGAGGAUUUGGUAGCGGAGGAGAUAUUGUCUAGGGUUCCAUUGAGUUGUUCGAGAUCAGUGCGAUCUACUUGCAAAAAGUGGAACGCUUCAUCUAAAAAUCGGAUUCUUGGUAAAAAAGCAAAGAGGCAGUUUAUGGGAUUCUUGAUGAUGGAUCAUAAAAUUUGUUUUAUGAACUUGGAUCUCCAAGGAAUCCAUAAAAGCUUGGUUAAUCCAUCAUCUAUAAAGCAAGUAAGUAUAUUUGAUCAAAUCGAUGUAGCUACCAGCUACGGUCUUUCAGUGUGAAGGGUUAUUGCUAUGCGUCCUUGAGGACAACUCGAGGCUUUUGGUAUGGAAUCCGGGAAACAAAGUGGAUCCAACCGAGAGAUAAAUCACGCGGGCAAGACGCGUAUGCUCUCGGAUAUGACAAGAAGAAGCGUACCCACAAAAUCUUGAGGAAUUUCGAUUUUCCUCUAAGCGGAAGAGAGUAUGUUAUAGUAUACGAAAUCUACGAUUUUAGCUCUAAUUCAUGGAAGGUUCUUGAUGUCCCUACGGACGACUGCCAUAUAUCUUCUCAUAUCAACGGCGCGUCUUUGAAGGGAAACACUUAUAUUCUUGCAAGGAAACACGGAGUAACCAAAAUACUUGAAGAUCUUUUGCUAUGUUUUGAUUUUACAACAGAGAGCUUUCGGCCUCUGCCUCUGCCGUUUCGCGACACUUUCAGUGAUGGAGGAGAUUUUGUGUCUCUAUCUUGUGUUAAAGAAGAACAGCUCGCGGUCUUAUAUCAACGCUAUUGGAACCCACCUACGGCAAUCGAGAUCUUUGUUACGAAUAAGAUUGAUGAUCUAAAUGCGGUGUCGUGGAUCAAGUUUUUAAAACUGUCCACCAGUUUUUACGGUCUGUGUUUGUCUGGGAGUUUUUUCAUUGACCAAGAGAAGAAAGUUGCUGUGGUUUUCGAUCUAGAGUUACCUACCAAUGACAACAGUCGUCGUCGUCGUCGCUACCAAACAGCUCACAUCAUUGGAGAAGAUGGAUACUUGAAAUCUGUUACUAUCAGAGGAGCUCCGCGUACCUGGUCAUCUGACAGAAUUGAACAUUAUACGAAACAAUCUUGUGUCCCACUUGUGUGCCCUUCAUACGUUCCAAGCUUGGUGCGACUUCAAAUAAACAAACCCAGUCGGGCAAAUGGAGAGAAAGUGAUUAUUAUUAACCGUUAAGUUCCAUUUACGACAAUACGUUAUUCUCUUGAACAACUUAUUAUUAGUUUUUGUUUGCUAUCUGUAUUUAUCAUCUGAUGAAUUGGCUUUUGCAUGUUUUAGCUUCUUUUUAAUUGUUCAUAAGUACUUAUGUACAAUUCAUAACUCACUUGUGAUGUAAUAUUAUCAUACAGUACACUGAAGCUUUAUUCCCUUGUGGUAAUCAUUACCAACAGUUUUAUGCUCUGUUUUCAAUUACAAAGAUGCUUAUGGUGAUUGGUGUUGAAUGUGUCAAACAUAUCUAACAGACAAAACGAAGAAUGAUAGCUAAAUACUUAUGUUACCUUACUACUUCAUCAAUGCCUCAACUGCUUUGUGUAAAGCACUAUUACGAUAUUUAAACAGCGAAUGAGGUCCGUUCCACACGGAAUUGUGAUUGUCGUCCUUAGGGAAGAGAGUUUCACAGAGACUUAGAAGCUGCGGGUUUCUGACUUCGAACUUUUCUUGCAUCUUCAUUCUCCAUUCUUUACGCUCCAACUCCUGCCGUUUCUGCGAUAACGAAAUAACACCAAUUUACCUCAAUCGUGCUUAUUGCUUAAUCAAAACGUUAUAAAGCUUCAAACCAAUGUUUCUCUGUUGUAUAUAGGUAAACGAGAGCCAAUAGAAAGAGUAGAUACCUUUUGCUCUUGGAGUUGUUUUUCCUUCUCUUCCUCAUCUUUAUGAGUCGAUUUUGGACCUUCAAUGGAUGCUAAAACAACCAAUUUCUCUGCAGCACUAGUCACACGCUCAUCGCCAGUCUCUUCCGUUACUCUAUCAAUCGAAUGAGUCUUAUCCUCUACAUUAGCUUUGGUUUUAUUUUCACUCUCCACUUCAACAUUUUCCUCUUCCUCCACCUCUUGUUUAUCUUCAUUCACUCUUUGUCUCUUUGACACCGGACUAUCUAGUUCCACGAUUUCGGUUUUGUUGUCAACAUCAAUAUCCAUGUCCUGCUCCUCACCCAUGUUUAUUGAUGAAUUAUCCACAGACGGACUUCCCGCAGGUGAAGAUUCCUUCAACAGAGAUAUCAAAGUUAAAAUUUGUUGCAAAGUUUACACAUUGCAGCCGUCUGAAGUCAAAACCGGAGUUGUGUGUGGGUUCUCUUUGCACAUAAACACUUGCACACCAAGAGAUAUAUGUGUGCGUUUUGUAAACAAAACACACUACUAACCUCUUGUGCUCCAGAAUGUCCUUGAGAAUCUCGUUCACGUUCUCUUUUACGUCGCUUCAAAACACAUAUCGCACACAUGCAAUCACUCUUGUGGUGCCUUCUGCAAACGAAAAUGAUGACUAUUUAAUGAAACCUAAUCCGAAUCCCACUUUUGGAGGGCACAAGAAGGGCACAAGCUCUAUAGUAACCAUCAGUAAAAAAAGAAUGGAAAUACAUUUUGGCAAAAGAGAAAACCAAAUUCAGCUACACAAUGUCUGCUUAAUGACCAUUGACUAAGACUGGCUAUGGUUAAGCAGAUCUUGUUACAGUAGCUUUGUAAAAGAUAACCUCUUGGCUAUAACCUAGAAGAUUUAUGAGACACGGUUGAAACCAAACUCAGGCUAAGGUUGACCACAAGUACACACAUUUGAAUAUGAGGCCCUAUGUAUCAGAGGAAAAAACGUUUCAGCGACAUACCCAUGGCGUUUAUGGCUCUUCUGCUUGGAUUGACUGCCUUUGGUGGAUGACUUCCCACCAUCCUCUGUAUUUUCUGCUGAUAACCAAAGAAACCAAAUAAGCUAAUUUGUAAAACACAGUUACUCAGACCAAAACACAUAGCUAAUAGUUACAUUGCAAAUAGUGUAUCGCUCCACAUAUUGGCAUUUUCUCCUGAUAGUUUUCUUUCGCAUAGAAUUCUUUUUUUUUUUUUAAUGGCCACAUGCACUUCCUACAUAUGGGUCUACACAUCUUUUAAAAUUGAAAUUCAUAAGAGAAUCGAAACUGAUUAGCCAUGCAAACUAGACGUAAAGCGGUAAUCAUAACCAAAGGCUUACAUGCCCAAUCAUUCGAGAUUAACUCAUCCGCGCGUCUAACAGCUUUGAAUGGAUCUAUUAAUAAAUUAAGUUUGUUUUUCUUAUACUUUUAUUACUAAAAUGAGGCCAUAUGAAUUUCAACAAUGACAUUUCAUUAGCUAAAAUCAGCAAUGACCCUUGUCAGACACACAUGGUGAUUCAAAAGCAGAAGCUUCUGAAUAUGUUCAAGUGUCAACUAUAUAAGCCUAAGGGGAACCAGAAGCAUAACUAUCUAUGGAGAGAGCUGUAGCUACCAAUUUAACAAUGCUUCAGCGUUCAGCCCAAAAGUCAAAAGCUGGAGAAGAUAAAUUUGGUAAUACCUGCUGAUUCAGUGUACAACCCUGCUGCAGUCCAGUACUUCAUGAAAUUUUUCUUUACUCGCUUCAUCAAAUCCACAAUAUAAUCACCUUUCUUAUUGUACUUAGAACAGUUAUUCCAAAUGUACUGGACAUCCUUGUAAACGUCCUCAGAAUUCAUAUACUUGUUGCUUUUUUCAAAAUUAUUGCAUAUUGUUCCAAAAUCCAUAGGUGUCUUGAUAAUUUCGAAAUAGUCCUAAUACCAAGACCAGAAAACAGGUAGACUGUGUUAGUUAACAAUUCUGAAACCCCUUUACAAGCAAGGAGCAAAGAAUAGAUGGGAAAAGUAUAGGAGAAAAUAUCCCAUAUUACUGUCUAGCGACCGGGACAAGAAAGUCAUACUACAAUUCAUUAUCCAUCUCUGUUAAGAGUCUAAGUUUGUCAAAAAUUAUAAGAUGACAGAGUCAAGAUAUUCCUAAUUAGGUGAUAAGAGGGUACUGUUCGUCUUUGGUAGACAAAUGUAAGUUAAUCCAUAUGAACUGAAAAUUUAUAUCCCUCAAGGACAGAGACAGACAAAAAUCUCUGUAUACUAAUACAGCCAAUCUGGUCCACUUACACACAUUUUAAAAGAGUAUCCUUCCCUUCUCCACAUACGGAAAGAGAAAGAUGAGACCCAUACGCUGAGCUAACUAAUAGGACUGGUUCAUGUACUAUAGCAUUUCUAGGUCUUAUCAACUGAGACCAAACUGAUUCUACGUUUGUUCACAAGCAGAGUAAUAAGGCUUUGCAAAAAUAUAUAGAGUUUUUUACCUAGGAAGUUCAACAUAAGCAUGUGAUGGAGAUAUGUGAGAUGUAUAUUAAUAGUUGAGUUUUCAGAAGCCAAGCUUAAUAUGUACCAAAACAGUGUGCCUCUAUCUAAUAAAGAUGAAGCUAAAAUCUGCACUUACAGGAAUUCCAAGAGCUUCUGGGUUCACAGGAGCAUUAAAGGGAUCAGCAGCAUCCAUCUUCAUAAUCUUUUUGAUCACCUAUAGCAGUAUGACACCAACACAAAGAAGGUAAAUUAGACAUGAUAUUCAACUCGAACUAUUCGUACCUUCAAAAAGAGCAACAAAUUAGGUAGAUUAAUCUGAGCAUACUGUAAGAGAAUCCUCCAGUUCUUGUUUAUUGUAUCGUGAAUUUUGGUCAGUCUUCUUCUCCUCUUUCGGCAAAGAAAUUGGUGCACUUUCUGGCUCUUUCUUACUGGCUUGAGGAUUCUCAUCCAGCGUUUUUGUAUCCUUUUGAGGUGCAUUUGCAUCCUGGGCCUUGACAGCAUCAGCACUCUUCUCAGUAACCGAGCUAGAUCCAUCUACCGCCUUCGAAGACUUAAUCUUUAUACCCUUAGUUUUCCUGUAAACAUUCAGAAACACUGGCUUUCUCUCAGGCAAACGCGGAGGAACCAAUUCCUCCUUUUUCUCAGCAGGGACAGCAGGUUUUUCAGACCCCACUUGAGAACUAAUCUUAUCAAUAUCAUCACGCCAUGUCUCAUCUGGUUCUGGUGCUUUUGAGGUCUUCAAUUUAACCUUAACACGUCCCAUUGACUUCGCCGCUACAUUAUCAGCUGGAUCUACACUAGCAAUAGGUGAAUUACCAAUCUCAGUAGAAGAAGGUGCAUCAACCUCCAUUUUAGAUUCAUGUUCACUAUUCUCACACUCAGCAGGACCUUCAGAACUCUGCUCCGAGGUUUGAUUCUCCACGUUUUCGGUUGACUCAUUCAAGUUCCCUUCUUCAGUAAUAGAUUUGGACUUUUUAGACUUCUUCCCUUUCUUAUGUCCUCUUUUACGCUUCAUCUUCUCUUCGAUAAUCGUAUAACUUCACAGAAGCUAUAAGAAACUACUGCAAAAAAACAACCAAAUGACUAAAAAAGCUUAAAAUCUGAAACAAUCACAUCCGAAACCAAAAACACCAAAUCAUACGACAAAAUGAGAAGAUAAAAAUCAAUCGAAUUGUUCCAACAAAUUGCAGACAACACAACUUGCAGAUAAUCGUAGAUCACAAAUCAGAAAAGAAGCUUGAAUUCAGGAACAAAAGCAGAGAGAAUUUUACCAGAAAAAGGUAAACCCUAAAUCAAACAAAGCUACGUCGUCGUCAAAUCAGAGAAAAUCGAAACAAUGGCUAGAAAGCCAGAGAGUUCACCUCUUGUGCCACUAAUCGAUAAUCGGUAACCUCUUAUGUCACUGUUAUGUUUUAUCUUUAUUUUUGAAUUUCUUAAAAAUCGAAAAACUGAAUAAAUGACCAUAAAACCAAACGAAUUUCUCUUAUUUACGACCCAACCUAAAAUCCAUAUUAUUUAUCCUAAUUUGUAAAAUUUCUUUAAGUUUUUCAGAUCGAAAACUGUAAAAACCUAAUCUCAUUCUUCCCAUUCUCACUCGAAACUCAAACUACUCUCGAGAAAACGAAGAGUCCGACGAAUUCCGACGAAUUCCGACACCACUCUCAUCGGAAAUCUUGCUUCUCCGGCGUAUCGUCGUUUGCGUGUACUCCGUCAUUCGUCUCCUCCGUCUCCUCCUCGGUAGUUUGUCUUUUCGUCUCCUCCGACUCCGUUCAGCGUGUCUUCGUCUCGUUCUUAUAUGGCUCGCGUGAAAGGUAGAGAUAACAGGAUAUAUGAAUCAACAGAAGGGUCUCGAGAAGGGGCUGCAAAUCCGGAUCCAACAGAAGCUUCGACAGACGCUUCAGUUCCAACAGAAGCUUUGACGGACGCCGCAGUUCCAAAAGAUGCUCCGACGGAUGCCGCUUAUCCAACAGAAGCUCCAAUGGAUGCCGCUGUAAUUGGUCCAACAGUGGAAUCCGCAGAAGCAUCCACCGAAUUAGUAGUUUUUUCGGUUCCGGAAUUGUCUGAUAAAGAAGAGAAAGAAGAAGUCGGUGAGCAUGAUAAAGAAGUCCGUGAGUUGUCAAUUGAUGGUCAGGGUUGUGAUAACGAGGAAGAAGAGAGAGUUGUUGAUUCUGAGGGUGAAGAUGUUGCUGGUGAUAAUGAGGAGGAAGAUGUUGCUGGUGUUGUGAAGGUAAGUAACAGUUUGUAUUUGUUGUAUAUGGUGUUAAAGGUAAGCAACAGACAUAGUUGUACUCAGUUGUAUGUGUUUGAAUAUGCAGAAUAUAGUUGAUGAUAUUGCUGUUGAGGAAGAGGAGGAGGAGAGGGUUAAUGAUGUUGCAGCUGAUACAAAUGAGGAUGAUGAUGAUGAGGAAUCCCAACCACUGCCCCCAGAGAGCAUGUACUUUAGUCCAACUGAGUACAACAAGGUAUGUAAGGUAGGUAGUAGGUGUAAAGUUGGCCAAACAGUGGCCAUGAUAGAGGCAUUUGAUGAGGAAGUUAGUUGGUUUAGGAAUCAUGCUCAGUUUAAGCAUAUAUUCCACAUGCCUAAGGAACCAAAUCACAUGAUUCAAGGCAUGUGGAUGCUUAUGCUUCGCACUGCUCGCACGGGUAUGGAGAAUGAGUGUUGGUUUGUUGUGAAUGGAGUGCCUAUAAGGUACUCCUUGAAAGAGCAUGCUUUGUUGACCGGGUUGGACUGCCAUGAGUACCCAAGGAAUCAUGAGAAGAAGGGUAGUUUGAGGUUUGUCAGGAGGAUGUUUGGGAGGACAGACCUAAUCAAAAUCAAAGAUGUAGAAAAGAAGUUGGCAGCUAUUAAGAGUGAGAAGUGUUUGGAUAGGAAGAAGUUGAUUAUUUUGUUGUUUUUAUGUGCGGUUGUGAAGGCUGAUUCUAAGGGUGAUGGGAACAUAGAGCAAUUCCUGUUAAGGAUUGUUGAUGAUGUUCAUGCUUGUGAAAUAUUCCCGUGGGGAAGGUAUUCUUUUGAGCAAUGUAUGACAGGGAUCCGGAGAAUGAUGAAAAACAUGAAAGGUGAGGUGAAACCAAAAGCACAGAGCAGCUUUUUUGGAUUCAUCACUCCUCUUGAGGUAAAAACUUGUGAAUAUUGUAAUGAGUUAGAGUGUUUAAGUUAUAGUAGUAAAACUGUGUUAUUGUGAAUGUGUAGAUUUUUGCAUUUGAGUGCAUACCACAGCUUGGAAGGCGAUUCAGAGAAGCUGUUCCCGCAGCUAAUGACUGUCCAAGAAUGUGCAAAUCUAAAUUCACUGACAGUUGCAUGAAGGGCUUUACCUUGGAUGAAAUAAACCAAGCCCUUGGUGAAAUUAAGGUUAGCUUUUGGUGCCUUUACUUCUCUUAGUAUGCAUAUUUAUUGAGAUUGAUGCUAUGUGUAUUUGACAGGAUAUCUCAAGCAUCUUGGAACCUGAUAUGGAUGAGAAAGAGAUGUUGUCUGGCCUUGUUGAGAAAAAUGUUGAUGAAGGGAUGGGAUUUAUUGAUCCAGUUGUUGAAGGUUGGAGAGAGCAGCUGAUCAGAAAGAAGAAGAAAAUCUGGUGGAAAAGUCUAUACCAGAUGGACUUGCAGGCUCGGGGUUUUGGUGAUGUUGUCCCUGAAGUGGCUGAGAGGCUUGGUGAUGUUAAAGAAAGUGAUGGUGAAGUCCCUGAGAGGCUUGGUGAUAUCCUCUCAUUACAGUCAGCUGUGGACAAAGGAUUUGCGAAGAUCAUGGAGAAGUUGUCUGAGAUGGAUAGCAAAGUGAGUAUGCUGGAUGGGAGAGUGAAAGACUUAGAGGGUUAUGUGUCAGUCCAGCUAGAGAAAGAGCGGUACAAUGAGUAUCAUCCAGGGACUUCAAGUGAUUUUGUGCCAACCUAUUGUACACCAACUGCUAAUCAACCAAUAGCGAGUCCGACAAAGGCUUUGGUCCUUCACAGUGGUUUCACAGACCCUAAGCCAAUCCAGAUUCAAGAAUUGAGUGAGUUUACAUUUUUGUAGUUUUUAGUGUAACAUACAUGUUCUAACAUUGGAGUUGUGUAGGUGAUGAAGGUGAUCAGGAGCAGCUGGCUAGGAAAGAGAAGGAGAACAAGAAGAAGAAAGCAGUGAGGCCGAAGCAUAGUGGCCCUACAAUCCAGACCGGGAAAAAGAGACAAAGGAAGGCUUCCAGGUUUCAGGCUGAACAGUUUACAGCAGAGGGGAAGGGGAAGGGGAAGAAGCGGCAGAAGAAAUAGGUGAUCUUUAUGAGAGAUCACUCUUUAUGAGUAAUUGCUUUUGUGUAGGACAAAACUUAUAUUUUCUGAGUAUUUUGCGGUUAUCUUUUAUUAGGAUUCAAAACAUUGUACUAUCUUUUGGUUGUGUUGUGGUUUAGGUGCAUUUUUUGUAUUUGGGGUUUAGGAUGAUUCAGAAAUUAUAUUUUAAAAAAUUAUGCAUCUGGUCCAACUACUAACAAACGUGGGACAACUAUUAACACAAGUAGGACAACAGGAACAACUACUAAAUUUUGGUUGGACCAGUUGAUCCAGGGACAACUACUAAUAAUCCUGGGACAACAAUGUGAUAAACCAAGAACAACUACUAUUAAAAUAAAUUUUAAAUUUUAGUUGGACCAGUUGAUCAAGGGACAACUACUAAUAAUCCAGGGACAACUACUAAUAAUCCAGGGACAACUAUGUGAUAAACCAAGAACAACUACUAUUAAAAUAAAUUUUAAAUUUUAGUUGGACCAGUUAAUCAAGGGACAACUACUAAUAAUCCAGGGACAACUAUAUUAUAAACCUGGGACAACUACUAUUAAAAAUACUUAGUAAAUACAUAUAAGUCGGAGUUGUACCGGUUGAACCAAGUACAACUAGCAUUACUGCAGGUACAACUACUAAUAAGACUUCAUGAAAACACAAAUCCAUAUCCAAAAUACAAAUUCAUAUCCAAAAUACAAAUACAAAGACUAGGUGGUAAUCAUACAAUAUUAUUACCAACUUGAAAGUAACCCCUUAAGCCUCGCAAUCUCGACUUCUUUUGUGGCUAACCUCGCUUUAAGGGCAUCAAUUUCUUCACGCAUAAGACGAAGAGUUUCCCGGAUCGACUCCAAAGCAGGUGGAAAUCCACCCCUCGCAACCUCAAGAGAGGUUAAAACGUCAAAUCGUAGGUUUAUCUUGGACAGCUCCUCCGUAACCGCACAAUCCCACCACUGAACUAGGUGAUCUCGAUUAACCUUAUAUUCGUCUCCAUCCUAGGAAGAAUAUAGAAAGUUCAAAACCAGCAAGUUGUACUUAGUUGUUCCAGAAUUGCAACUAAACCAUACCGUAAGCAAUGGGCAUCUAUAUACGCGCUCUCCUUGUCGCUGUCCUGUUAUACACCGCUCAAGCUUGACCAUUAAACCGCAGAAACACCUCUUGGGAACACCAUAAUUGGCGUCCGCAUUUCGGCAUCCACUGUUGAUACUUUCUACGGAUGUGGAGGGUUGAGAGUAACUAUAAGGCAUAUCUACGGUUAAGAAGAUGAAGCUCGGUAAGUAGAUCUGACCAUUCAAUCAAACAUAAAUCAAUUAAAUCUUACAAUUUUUUGGGUAGAUCUGAAAAUCUUACAAAUCUCAUAUACCCUAAUUACCAGAAUUGCAGAUCUACUAAACUGAAGUAGUCUAAGAGAAUUGUCAUACCUUAUAACGGCGAGAGAAGGAAGAAAAAGAAUAGAUCUGAAAACCCUAAUUUUUUUGGGUUUCUCGUGAAGAAGAGAGAAGAAGAAGAAGAAGAGAGAAAAGAAGAAGAAGAGAUAAAGAAGAAUCGAGAUGUGAGAGAGAGAGAGAGAGUAGUCAAAGUAGGUAGGUGGGAUCUCAAAUAAAUCAGAUUCAAAUUAAAGGAGGUGGGUCCGAUUUAAGUCAAAAACUAGUCAAAAACUAGUGUGAACACAUUUAUGUGGGACCCCCGACAAAUAGAUUUUCUACAUAGUUGUUUUUAGAUGUCCAGUUGUCCUAAUUUCCUCACAGUUGAACUAUUUCAAAUUUUGUAAUUUUAUAGUUGAACCUUAAAAAUAUCAUAGUUAUCUAGUUGUUCACAUCAAUUUCCACAUUAUAUUGGUGUUUAAGAAGUUUUCAUAGAAUAAUUUGUCAGAAAACAUAGUUUCCAUACUUAUUUCAUCUUUAUAGAUGAGCUUGAACUAAUUGUUCCUUGUUACCUAAAGAGUGAUUUGUGUAAUUUUGGUUUUAGCUCACAUUAAUUAUUGAUAAUGUUACAUAUCAUAUAUUAAAAUUAUUAAAUGUACUUUCAGAGUGUAAAAAUGUUUUAAACUACUUAUUAUUGUUUGAUUUAUGUAAUUUUGUAUUUUUAUAUAUUUAGUUGUUUCCAGUUGUAUCGGUUGAACCCAGAAACCAUUUUUACUAAUAUUGCUAAGAAAUAAAAUAGUUUUUAUUACAAACUAGUCUUACAAAUAAUAAUCCAUAUAUUACAAAGCGAUAUUAGUCUUACAAAUAAAAAUACAAGUACAAAGUUGUUUAAGUCACAGUGGUUGAACCCAAAUGGUUACACAGUUGUUCCGGUUGAACCCAAAUGGUCCAGUUGUUCCAGUUGAACCUAAGUGGUAAAACAGUUGUACCGGCUGUACCAGGGAAUUAAUCAAGUUGCUUCUGGAUCCUCGGGCUGCAGCCAUCUCUCCAAGUUAAUUCCUGGAACAGCUUUGUUACUCUUUCUCCGUUUUUCUCCAACGGAUGGAAACCGUUUAUCUUGAUCUCGUCCUUUUUUUGGGGUGUAUUCCGGCGGGUCAGCCUCCAAAUCUUUAAUUGGCUCGGGAAUAAUCCAUUCUGACUCAUGUGGCACUACAAACAACGUCCUGUAAUAUGCCAAUGCCCAAGUAUCUAUCAAAUAAAAGACGGAGCAGAGUCCAUAUAUGCUUACAUCUCCAGCUCUCCCUUCCUUGCGGGCUAGGAACCUUGCUGCGGCAAUGGCAUGGACACACGGGUACUUGUCUAUAUCAAAAGUCUUGCAAGAACAAGUUUUCAUUUUCAAAUCCACCAAAAAGCUUACCGAAUGGAGAUCAAUGACGUUGUAUUCUUGUCUAUAACUGUUAAGCUCAACAACUUUUAACUUCGCAGCAACUGGACAUCGAGCAUGCAAGAUGUUCUCCACAAAAGGCACAACUUGUGAUGUGCUCGAUGCAUUACCUGAAUCUUGCCUAUGUUUGUUAAACCAUUCAGAGAACUUCUCAACAAGGGCAUCAAUCAUAGGUAAGAGGUCAUACGUCCUCGCUUUCCUAAACACAGCGUUCAUUGACUCCGCAGCAUUGCUAGUGUCUAUGUUGUACUUAUCUCCUUGGAAAUGGCACCUGGACCACUGCUCUCUCUCUCUAUAGUUUUAUCUAGAUAGUCAGCAGCAUUAGACCACCGACUCCUAAAAAUACCAUAUUCUCUAUUGAACUCACUCUCAGUAUAAGCAUGAGCGCAAUCCAUGAACUUCUUCGCAGCUCCCUCCUUAUCAAUCUUCGCACGGAGUCUCAGAUUUUGAGACAAAUGCCAUAUACAGUGUACAUGAUGCGCAUUCGGGUACACCGUCAUGACAGCCUUCUUGAUGCUUUGAUGUCUGUCACUAAUAAACACCAAAUCAGGAACUUCUGGAUAUACAGUUUUCAGCUUCUGGAAAAACCAUAUCCAACUAUCAUCCUUCUCCGCAUCAAUCACACCAAAUGCAAGAGGGUAAUGGUGAUGAUUAGGAUCUUGAGCUGUUGCAAUAACCAACAUCCCGCCAUAUACAGUUUUGAGAUGAGUUGCAUCCACAAUUAUCACUUUCCGCAUUGCCCUGAAGCCUUCAAUGCUAGCGCCCAAAGCUAUGAAUAGGUAUUUGAACUUCUUCUCUUCCAACUCGACACUUGUUACAGUCCCUCUAUUUACUUUCUAUAACAUGUAAAGAUAAGAAAACAACAUCUUGUAGCUUUUUUCCGGUCCACCUCUCACUUCACUAACAUGCUGCAUUUUCCCUCUUAAUGCAGUGGAGUAUGAACAAUGCACACCAAGUCUUCCUGUCACAAUAGACAUGAUGCUUUUUGGAUUUGGGGUCUGUAGACUACCUAGAAAGUCAGCAUGCAAAACAGCUGCUAUUAAUCGUGGUGUUCCUCUUUGUACACUAUUGCUUAUAGACUCAACAGACCGAGAGCAUGUAUGGAUCUUUCUAUGCACUCUAACACUCCAAUAAUCUGAUUGCUUUGUUCUCGCAACUCGUAAAUACCAUUUACACCCUUCAGAAUAUUGUUUGCAUCGUAACAUAAGUCUCACCGGGUCAGACUUAAUAGUUAAAACCCCAUAAACUUCUUGUUUUGCAGCUUUGUUUACCAAUUCCCACACUGCCUCCUUAGAACAAAAUUCUUGAUAAAGUUCUAUACCCGUACCAUCUUCCCAUUCUAUAUUCUUCGGAGUUUUUACACGAUUUGGAAUAGCUGGAAUAUCAUCAAAAUCACACAUACCAUCCACAUCUUCAUCCAAAUGGUUAUCCAUCGACCUUUCCACAGCCACAACUUCCAUACCUGUCACAUUCUGACACACUUCAUUCACCAAAACUUUAUUCACAUCAUUCACCAAAACUUCAUUCCCAUCAUUCUCCAAAACUUCAUUCACAUCAUUCUCCAAAACUUCAUUCACAUCAUUCUCCAAAACUUCAUUCACAUCAUUCUCCAAAACUUCAUUCACACCAACUGAACUUCGACGCUCCGGUACUAACAUUUCCACCCUCUGGUUAUUGUCACUUAAUACCUCCACAUGCAAAACUGGAAUACGACCCUCUUCAUCACAUUCUGUUAAAAAAAUGUAUACGUCCUCAUCAUCUACAAUAUAUGUCUCUCUCCGAGCUUUAGAUAGAUUGUAACUCAGUUUCAGAUUCCCAGGGACUCCAUUCUGGCCAACCUUCGUAGUGAUCUUAUCUAAUAGCACCGAAUAAGUUAUCUUCUCUAAACAUGCCGUCUUAAACGAUAUAGCGUAUAGUGAAUUUUUAUAAAUCCACUCAUUCCCUUCUGAAUAGUACCCUCCAUAGUCAAAAUGUACGUUAGUAUGGCUCUUCUUCUUCAUCGCCUCCUGAAAUUACGAUAAUUUAAAACAUAAUUACAAACACAAUUUGUCACAGUUAUACUAGUUGUACCAGUUGGCCUAUACAGUUGGACUAUACUCUAACAGUUGUACCAGUUGACUAUAGAGGGUACUAUCCUGAAACUACAACAAUCAAAAACAGCACAUACACCAUUUUCCACUGUUAUACUAGUUGUACCGGUUGGCCUACAUACUAUCAGUUGUACCAGUUGGCCUACAUACUAUCAGUUGUACUAGUUAGCCUACAUACUAUCCGUUGUACCAGUUGACUAUGGAAGGUACUAUCUUCAAAAUACAACAAUUAAAAACAGCACAUACACCAUUUGAAACAAAUAUUCUAGUUGUACCAGUUGAAUAAUUAAACAUAGUUGUACCGUUGGCCUAUCAGUUGUACCUAUUGGUCUACAUACUAUCAGUUGUACCAGUUGGCCUACAUACUAUCAGUUGUACCAGUUGGCCUAUAGUCUAUCAGUUGUACCAGUUGAAUACUUAAACGUAGUUGUACCCUGUUGAAUAACUUUCUCUUAGCUGUACCAAUUGACUGAGAUCUGACUCGAUUCUACUUAAAAUGUGACUCCAUUCAACAAUGUACGAGUGUAGCUCGAUUCUAACAUUCCCAUUCGCCAAUAUACUAUCAAUUCUUCCAAAAAACCCCCAAUUCUCAUUCAAAUCCCUAAUUUUAAAGAUUUCCAAAAUACUCUUAAAUUACCUAAAAAUCUAUCAAUGCAACAAUAAAAAGAGGAUACAUGAGAAGAAACUAACCGCUUUCGAGAAGGAGGACGCGACUGCAAAACCGUACGUGCAGAUCGGCGGGAGCGAGCUAUGGCGGAGGGAGAGAGAAAUGUCGGGGUCGGAGAGGAGAGAGAGAGAGGAGAGAGAGUGGGACGAAAUGAGUUUUUUAGUUUUUCUUUUUUGAUUUCUUCUUUAUUUCAUUAAGGCUAGUUUCGAAAAUUCACAUUCUCGGUGGCAUGCCAGAUUUUUGAGUGGCAUGCCAGAUUUUUUUUUUCCAAAAAGUGGCAUAAGUGACAAUUUUUCAGAAAGCCACUUUCCCCGAAUAAAAAAGCUAGAAUGCCACUUUCUUGUUUGUAAUUUCUUUUACCCUUUUUUUUAAAAUCAAAAGUGAUGGAAAUGUCUAAAAAACCUUUAAGAGAAUUAGUAAUUACAGAUCCAACCAAGACAAUCCGACCCAAAUUCAAUAACCCACGACUUGUGAGAAAGAUCAAAGAAUAUACGUAGACCUUAAGUUGAAGAAAAUUGAAAAAUACAGAUCCACCGAAACUGAUGUUUUGGUAGCUUACGCUGUAGAAAUCAAAAUCGAAUCUGUGAUGAUGAAGAUGAAGCAGACAGUUUCAUCGAACUCAGAAGCACAGAGUUACAAUGAAUCACCACACUCUCCUCUUCGAUUUCUUCUCCGUUAUCAGAUGCUAGAGAUUUACCGGAGAGCCAUUACGUUUCUCCUGAGAAAUCUCCGUUCAAAAUCGAGAAUCCCAAGUCAACGAUCGUAUGAUGGUAACAAGUUCAUGCAUUUUUUGCCUCUUUAUUCUCUGAUCUCGCCGCCUCCUCCUCAGUUUCCGUCGCCGCGACAUCAGAGGACUGCGCGAAUUCCGAUGAAUUCGUCUUGGGAUAAAGUCUCCGUCGUCCUUUGUAGUGCACAAUGUGGUCUUUGACAUAUGGAUCAAGGUGCGUUAUACACGUUUAAUUUCUGAACCAUUUAUGGAACUAAGUGAAGCUCGUUUGAUGUUCACUCAUUGCAUAUUUGUUGCAGGGAGAUAGUUGUCUUAUAAUUGCUUAUGGUGAUCAAACUGUAAGUUGUGACUCAAAGAUUUUUGAUUUACUUGUUUGUGAGGACAAAAUGGUGACACUGACAUUCUUAUACGCUGGAAUACAAAUUAAAGUGUGAGAUGUAGAUGAGAAUAAGUGUACUAGAGUUCUUAUAGGACAUGCUGGAAUUGUAAAAUCAAUGUGUUCACAUUCAAUGGAUUCUGGUUCAUGUCGAGCAUACAUAUGUUCCUUUUUAACUUAUUUAUGUUUUUGGUCAAGAGGGCUCUAACUUUUGUUGCUUACAAAUCUUCUUGUAUCUGGUUCAAGAUGGAUGUUUUGCGUUGUUGGAUUUAAUAUGUAAAAGUAGCUCUCACAAAGAGGAAUUUUGUAUCAAGUAAGUCUUUAAACUUGAUUGUGAUGAUAUUUUUUUUUUUUUGUCUUUUCACUUCUUUAUAACCAUCUUGAUAGUUGUUCUGGUCUUCACUCAGCUCUAUUGGGAUGGUUAAAGGAUCUCAUCAAUCUCCUCUUUCAAAACGAAUCAGACGUCGCAAGGUUUUACCUCCUUCUUAGUCCUAACUCUUCAAUUCUAGUAUUAUAUCCUAUCUUAUCUGCUAAUGGUUCGUGUUUCCAAGCUGCUUCAUCAAGCAUUACCUUUGUGCUUUAUUUGAAGGAUGAGAUCACAAUUGCCACUGCUGGAGCACCAGAUAAGCCUUUGUGCUUUACUCCGACAUUGCUUUGAUCUAUAGGAUAAAAUGAACAAGUUUUGAUUUCUUGACUUCUAAAGUAAAAUGAACAAGUUUUGAGUUUUCAAGAAACCAGAUUGGUGAUUAUUUUUGUAUUUUGUCCUUGUCUAUUUGUAUAGGCACUUUCAUAUAUUCGUUGUAUUGGGGAAUCUUAGCCAAUAACGAAAGAAAGAGCUUACUUUGAAGCAACAACUUUGAGAAAGCAUGGAAAUUUAUCUACUUUGGAGCUAUAAUGAGCAGAAGAUUAAAUAGUUGCAGCAGAGACUGAAAGAUUGCGGAUUUGUUUGAUUGUAAACAAUAGAAUCAUAUGGUGAAAGUGAAGUUUUAUGUACAACUAGAUCACUUAGAUACAACUGGGACAAUUUUGGUAUAACUUGAACUAUUUGGUGCAACUGCACUAUUUGAUUGUUCAGAUAGUUUUUUUUUUGUUUUUGGUGCAACUGACCUUUUGUUUGUAUAUGGUAAAGUGGAUCUUUUGUUUAUGUUAGUCGUUGGUUUGCUUUUGGAGUCAAUCAUGUCCGAGUCUUAUGGAGUCUAGAUAGUGGAGUUGUGGAAUUGAGUCAGUUAUUGUAGUGGAGUCUGUUCCUAUUUUUAAGCUUCUGUCUGUUGUUUCAUUUGAGUCCUUGUAAGGCUAUUUAAAGCCAUCUUUUUUAGGUAUGGUAAAGUGGAUUUUUUUUAAUGUACUAUGGUGGUAUUUUGGUUAUAUUUAGGUACAACUACGUACAGGUACAACUGGUAUAUUUAGGUACAACUACGUGUAGGUACAACUGGUAUAUUUAGGUCAACUACAAGGUCCUUUCGAGUUUUUUUAAAAAUAACAAAUUAAUUAAAAUUGAUAUUAAAAUGAAUUUAAAUAUGACUGACGUGAAAAAUAAUAAAAAAUUGGACCUUUGGCGGCGGGUUAUUAAUUUAAAAUCAUCACAAGUGCUGUAAAGUGGGCCAAAGAUAGCAGAAUAUUCAUAAAAAAUUAUUUGUUAUAAACGUAGUUGUACCUAGUUGUUCAGUUAUACUCUCAUAGUCAUAGUUGGACUUUUGCGAUUUUUACGUAUUUUCAGUUGGACUCUAAUAAAAAUUAGUAAUUUUAAGUUGGACACAUGAGUUUACACUAUUAAUUAUCAUUUGAGAGGUUUUCAUAAUACCGUUUGCACGAAAUCAUAAUUUUCACCUCUUUUGCAUCAAAAUAAGUGAUCACCUACAAAGUGUUCCUUAUACUAUAAGGAGUGUUUUAUAUGAAAACAAUAGUAUGCACUAAGAAAAUGAUAAAUUCGAGUUUGAUUUAUUAAAAAUUAUUUCUUUAUAGUUCAACAUGUUUUUAGAAUCCUUAUUAACUCUAAUUUAUCGUUUUUCAUAAUUGUUGAAUACAAAUACGGAUACAUUUAUAAUCUUAGUUGUACCUUAUCGAACAUAAAUAUACCUAGUUGAACAUAGUUGUAUGAAUACGACAAGUACAUAUACUGAUACAUAUAUGGUUAUAGUUAUGGUCUUAGUUGUAUCAAGUAUAGUUAUGGUAUUAGUUGUACCAGUCAAACCUAGUUGUACCCAGUCGAACAUGGUUGUACGACAAAUACAAAAGAUUUUUAGUCAUCAGGAAUUCUUUUAAUUAAUAAUCAUUUAUCUUCCAUAAUAUUAUAUAUUUACUUCGAAAUUAAAAUACUAAUAACUUUUAAGAAUAUAAUUAGUAAUCAGAAACAAUAAAAGCUUUAUAUAUGAAAAUGCUUAAGAAGCUUACAAAUUUGAUACUCACAGUAUAACGUCGUUAGCAAUAAUAGAAUAACCAAACCUAGUCUCUCUAUCUAACCGACAUUUAAGAAAGAACAAAGUAUUUGAUAUAACUCAAAAUUAGAGAAAAACAAUCCAAAUCUUGAAAAUGGGCAAAGACUCAAAUCUAAGCAAUAACAUGCAUGUCCUUGAGCCACUGGUCCAAUGGCUUACCAAUAGAGUAAACAAUAAACCCUAUCUUUCCAGCUUCUCUAAAUCAACAACAUUCCUACCUUCAAAAACAAACGCUGGUUUCUGCAUAUUUUCAAAGAUCUACUCAUAGUCAAAGCGUCUUAAACUCGUCCCACUCGGGUUAACAAGCAGAUUAUUUGGACGUCUUUAGUGGCGGCACAAUUUGACAAUCCAAAGACAGUGAUGAUCCAUCUUGAAAUCACAUCUUUGACCUGCAUAAGAAAACAUGGAUUGAGUAAAACUUUAUUUCUCUAUCACUAGAAAGUGGUCACCAUACAAUGAGACUUGUCACUACUAAGCAAAACAUAGUAGCAAAUCAGAUUUUACCUUACACACAUUACAAUGAUGGGAACGAGGCAAUUACAAGCAAUGACUUACAGAUUGAAUUCAUUACAAGACUAAAGUAUGAAUUUUGAGGUAGAAUUUCCCAUAAGAACUCAUGAUUACGAAAUUGACAGUUCUCAUUCCCAACAUCGAAUCCCACCACACUAUCUAAGCGAAUCAAGAAGAGAUCUAAGAUAUAAAGUUACAAAAGCAUUAUGAAAUUCUUGCUCUUUGAAGAGAAAUCAAAUCAACGAGAAGAAGGACAAAUGAUGAAAAAGACUAUACAAUGAUCAGAAACUUCAAAUCGUUUAUGUCGAUGCUCUGAUGACUGAGAAAGCGUCGUCGUCAUCGUCGUCGGAGCGGUGAUGGUUGUUGUUGAUAUCCAUGGCGGAAGAUUGAGGAACUAAGAAAGAAUCUCUCAGUUUCAUCAAUGGCGGAGGAGAGAGAAGAACAAACCGAUUGCAAGGAUGAGACGCCGAAGACGACGGCCGGCGAGAACGGUGGGCGAACCGCUCCGGUGUGGGAGGAGGGAAUCGGAGGUCUCGUGAGGAUGAUAGAAAAUUGUUUUUAUGUUUUUGUUUUUCUUCUAGUUUUAAUUUCUCAAAAUUAAUUAAAUCAAAAAUAUUCAAUAAGGGCAAAAUAGAAAUAACACAUACUAUGAUGGCAUACAUACUCUAAAAUGGCAGGUGUGAUUCAUUUUUCUGGUUUAGUGGCAUUCUAGCCUCUGGCUCGAGAAAAUCGAGAAGGUCACUCUUGUGUGAGGCAGCUGGUUGAUAAUCCGAUUGUCAUUGGUUAUUUCCGGUUCAAUUACUUUAUUUCAGCAAACCAGGUCUCAGUGUGUUUAUUAGAGGCUAGACCUAUCGUAUAUGUAUACAUCCUUGGCUCAUUUGGAAGAAUCAAUCAGUGAAAUAUGCUUCUCCAAAAUCCCCAAACAUAUCUCUGUUAAAGAUCUGGUAGAUUCUCUCUGCUUUGCCUCAUUUGUUUGGGCAUUUUUAAGGUUGUUUGAAUCGAUUUUGAUAGUUUAGUUGAUUAAUGAUUAUAUAGUGGUGAUUUUCACAGCACCGACUCAAAACUCUUAGAGCAUAAUUAUUGGUAGAACUAUGGCCUGGGCAUAAAACUCGAAAUCCGAAAACCGAUCCGAAACCGAUCCAAAAAAUCCGGAACCGAACCCAAACCGAAUAGUCACAAAAUCCGAACGGAUAAUGAAUUCUCCUAUCCGAAUUACCCGAACCGAACCCGAUCCGAACCAAAAACCGAAAGGAUAUCCGAAAACCGGAAAUAAAAAAUUAUAUAUCCAAAAAUAUUAGUUAUAUUUAGUUGUAAUUUUAUAGCAAAUAACAAAAAUAUCCUAAAUAUCCUAGAUUUGGGAAAGAUUUUAGUUAUAUUUGUUAAAAUUAUACAUAUUUUUGCAAAAUUUAACCAAAUUUUAGUAAGAUUAAACCAAUUUUUAUUAAGAUUGAACUAUUUUUAAGUUUUUUUUCCCAAAAACCGAUCCGAAUCCGACACCUAUCCGAACCGAAACCAAACCAAUGACUCAUAAAAUCCGAACGGAUAAUAAAUUCUCCUACCCAAAUUUUCCGAAUCCGAAUAUAUCCGAACCGAAACCGAACCGAAAAAUCAUAAAAUCCGAACGGAUAAUAAACUCUCAUACCCGAAUUAUCCGAAUCCGAAUAUAUCCGAUCCGAAUCCGAUUUGAAAUCCGAAUGCCCAGGCCUAGGUAGAACACCUAUUGAGUUCUUUGACAAUUUUUUAUUAUAUAAGUUAAAGAGACUGUUUCUUAUGGGUUCCAAAAGUCUCUCUUUUCAGAGAGUGUUCUAUAUUUAAAGAGACUCCAUUCAUUAUUUUUAUUAUUUAUAAUGUUUAGAGACCCAUCAAAAAUCUCUCAAAAACUAUCAAUAAUCAUGGUCUUAUGGGCCCCGGCCAAAAAUAAUAAUUUUGGACCCUAAACAUUUUUUUUAUAGAUAUUCUUUUUUAAUAUAUCUUUUAUUAAAAUAAGUUUGUUAUAAAAACAAAAAUAUACACACAAAUUUUUUUUUGGGCCUCUUUCUAAUCUUAUAUUUAGUUUACUAUAUAUUUUUUUUACAAAAAAAAUUAAAAAUUAAAAAUGGACCCUUAAUUACUAGGUCACGAGACGGAGCCCGGAGCGGUCGCACCUAUUGUCCCCCCCUCCCCCCCUCUGAGCCGGCGCUAGAUUUUCAAUACCCUAGAUUAGGGCUGGGCAUUCGGGUAUGCGGGUCGGGUUCGGGUAAAACCCAAUCGGGUACGGGUCUUUCGGGUAGAGGAGUUUAGGACCCAAUAGGGUAAAUCUAAAAUAUCGGUUCGGUUUCGGUUCGGGUCCAAUCGGGUUCGGGUCGGUUCGGGUUUAGAUUUUCAGAACCGCUAAAUACCUGAAAAAAUCGGGUACCCUUCGGGUUCGGGUAUUUUAUACCCGAUUAUACCCAAAUACCCAAAAAUUUACCCAAAUACCCAAAAAUUUUACCCUAAUAUCCAAAUUUUACACGAAAUUUUACCCUAAUAUCCUAAUUUUACCCAACAUUUUAUCCGAAUAACCAGAAUUUUAUCCAAAUAUUCCAAAAAUUUACAAGUAUCUCGCAUAUAAAUAUAUUUAGUCUUAAAUAUUUAAAUAUAAGUAUAUUUAGUUUUUGGUCAUUAUUCUCGGAUAUUUGGAUAUAAAUGUAUUUAGCUUGAAUAUUAGAUAUAUAUAAAGUUUUUAUAUGUAUAAUUAUAUAUAAUUUCGGGUAAUCGGAUACUCGUUCGGGUAUCGGGUUCGGAUCGGGUUACAAGACCCAAUAGGGUAAAUAGCUAAUACCCGUACCCGCCUCGAACCGGUUUUUUCGGGUCGGUUUCGGUUCGGAUACUCGGGUACGGUUUUUUUGUCCAGGCCUACCCUAGAUUUGUGGAUUUCGUGAUAUACGUGUUUUUUUUUUUUUUUUGUCAUUAUGAAGCUUUUUUUUUUUUUUGUCAAUUCUCAUUAUGAAGCUAUGGAUUCUCUUUUUACUAGUUUAGUUUUGUCUAUUUGAAAUAUCUAUCACUAGGUGAUUGCCCGCGCGCAUGCGCGGGAAGAAUGCUGUAUGAAUGGUAAAAUCAUGUGAAAUAAGGGAUUGUUUAGGUGUUACUUGGUAGUGUAAGAAAAAUAUGGUAAAUUGUUUAGGAUUUAGUGUUGUAAAAUUAUGGAAAAUGAUGAAAUUUAAAAAAUUCAAUAAUAUUAUAAAUGCUAAAAAAAUAAUAAUAAAUCAUCUUUUAAAAUCAUUCACCAACAAAAUAAGAAAUCAACGAACAUCAUCACUCCAUGGCAUUCUCCUCCCGUGUGAUGAUCGGUACUUGGUCAUUUUCAGGAUUCCUGACAUCCGAUUUAGAACACCAUAAACAGUGAAUGUCCAGUCGCCAACUUUAGAGUUUUGAUUGUAAACGGAAAAAAAAAAAUACUUACCAACAAAGCAUCUCGUCGGUAAUACUGAGAUCCGGAUUCAACAUAAUCCUCGUACUUCCGGUAACAUUGGUACAUCUCCACCUAUGUUCCUGUGAUAGCUCUAAUUUCACAAACUUGAUAAUACAUAUCACUGUGUUACGUGAACGAUGCUUCCAUAAGUCAUAGAACUCGACUGCAAGGUCACCCGUUAAACGACACUCUAGAUGGAUACACCUAAUUUUAAGAUUUGAAGAAGUCAUAAGACUUUAUAUUCUGGUUUAAAUCUUUAAAAGAAUAGUGACUUACUCAGUAUCACGUAAAUCAAAGUACAGCUCAAAAUAUCCUCCUUGAGAAUGUUCCACUGAAGGAACAAAAACCAACUCUCUCACGUUGACAAUUUUGCCAACAACAUCUAUGAAACACACACAUGAAUAAUACAGUCAGAACAUGAACCGCAAAUAAACUCCAAAAGCACAAAUAAAUUUACAAAUUAGGCUUACCAACGCAAAUAUUCGGAUUAACAAUACCACUCAAUAUACUCACAAACUCAGUUAGAUUGAAAUAGGUUCUACUGGAGCACAUAUUAAUACUUUGCACUAAAGUGUCCGAACGAAACACGAUCUUGAAUCUAUGCAGUACUGGUCUCAAUAUGCUGUUAACCCGUGAUACAUCAAAAUUUUUAAUGCUCACCCACUCAUCGAUUAUCAAUCUUGAAAGAUAAUUAUCAAUUAAUUCAUCACGAACAACGGCUUGGAUUUGGGUGAACUGCAAAUAAAACGUUAAAGACAAAACCAAUUCAAUUUAAUAUCGAAAACAUGUAUAGAAGGUAAGUUAUCAAAAAACUAACAUGCUCGUCACCCAAAAUCAUAUUGAGCUCUCUACCCGUGCCACGCGAAACAGACCAACAAUUCAAAAUCUUCACCGAGACAGACCACUCACCCAUGUUAGGGUUAAGAGACGCAAUACGAAAAUAACCACCAUCACAUGGAUCAGAGGUAAAAGGUAUCAUUGUAGAACGCAUAUAAAAAGAUUUCUACGUUUGUCAAUAGUUUUUUCGUGAGCUUGUAGAUAACCGUCAAUUUUGCUCCUUUUUCGUUAUCAUUGUUAUAGCCAAACUCAUCAAUCAUCAAACGAUUUCUAGGUUUAUAAAGAUCUCUUUCAUUAGACUGUAGAAAGCCGUCAAUUUUGGUUCUCUUGUUUUGUUUUCAUGAUUAUAGCCAAACACAUCAAUGAGCAAAUAAUUUCUACAUUUAUCAAGUUCUUUUUCAUGAGCUUGCAGAAAACCGUCAAUUUUGUUCAUUAUUUUUCGUUAUUAUAGUUAUAGUCAAACUCAUCAAUCUUCAAAUGAUUUCUAUGUUUAUCAAGUUCUCUUUCAUCGGAUUGCAGAAAGCCGUCAAUUUUGUAUCUCUUGUUUUGUUAUCAUGGUUAUAGCCACCAUCAUCAAUGAGCAAAUAAUUCUUACGUUUAUCAAGGGCUCUUUCAUUAAGUUGCAGAAACCCAUCAACUUUUUAUUUUUUAAUCAUGGUUAUAGCCAAACUCAUCAAUCAGCAAAUGAUAUUUAUGGUUAUCAAGGGCAUUUUUACAAAGUUGCAGAAAACUGUCAAUUUUACCUAUUUUCUGUUAUAAUGGUUAUAGCAAAACUUUUCAAUUAGCAAAUAAUUUAUACAUUUAUCAAGAGCUCUUUCAUCAAAUAGGAGAAAACCCUCAAUUUUGCUCUCUUGUUUUUCUGUUAUCCAGGUUAUAGCCAAACUCACCAUCAACAAUUGAUUUCUACGUUUAUCAAGAGCUUUUUCAUGAGGCUGCUUAAAACCUUCAUUUUUGCUCCUUGUUUUUUUUAUCAUGGUUAUAAACUCAUAAAUCAGAAAAUAAUUUCCACGUUUAUCAAAAGGUGCUUCAUUAGGCUGUAAAAAAACUGUUAGUUUCACUCUUUUUUUUGUUAUCAUGGUGAUAGCCUAUCUCAUCAAGCAGCAAAUGAUUUCUACGUUUAUCAAGAGCUCUUUCAUCAUUCUGUAAAAACUUAUCAAUUUUGCUCAUUUUCCGUUAUAAUGGUUAUAGCAAAACUUUUCAAUCAGCAAAUAAUUUCUACGUUUAUCAAGAGCUCUUUCAUGAGACUACAUAAAACCGUCAAAUCUUCUCCUCUCUUUUUGUUAUCAUGGUUAUAGCCAAACUCAUCAUCAGUAAAUGAUUUCUACGUUUGUCAAUAGUUUUUUCCUGAGCCUGCAGAAAACCGUCAAUUUUGCUCCUUUUUCGUUAUCAUUGUUAUAGCCAAACUCAUUAAUCAGCAAACGAUUGAUAGGUUUAUCAAGAUCUCUUUCAUUAGACUAUAGAAAGCAGUCAAUUCUGGUUCUCUUGUUUUGUUAUCAUGGUUAUAGUCAAACACAUCAAUGAGCAAAUAAUUUCUACAUUUAUCAAGUUCUUUUUCAUGAGCUUGUAGAAAACCGUCAAUUUUGUUCAUUAUUUUUCGUUAUUAUAAUUAUAGUCAAACUCAUCAAUCUGCAAAUGAUUUCUAUGUUUAUCAAGUUCUCUUUCAUCGGAUUGCAGAAAGCCAUCAAUUUUGUCUCUUUUGUUUUGUUAUCAUGGUUAUAGCAGCACUCAUCAAUGAACAAAUAAUUUUUACGUUUAUCAAGGGUUCUUUCAUUACGUUGAAGAAACCCAUCAACCCUUUUUUUUAUCAUGGUUAUAGCCAAACUCAUCAUCAGUAAAUGAUUUCUACGAUUGUCAAUAGUUUUUUCGUGAGACUGUAGAAAACUGUCAAUUUUGCUCCUUUUUCGUUAUCAUUGUUAUAGCCAAAAUCAUCAAUCAUCAAAUGAUUUCUAGAUUUAUAAAGGUCUUUUUCAUUAGACUAUAGAAAGCCGUCCAUUCUGGUUCUCUUGUUUUGUUAUCAUGGUUAUAGCUAAACACAUCAAUGAGCAAAUAAUUUCUACGUUUAUCAAGUUCUUUUUUUGAACUUGCAGAAAACCGUCAAUUUUGUUCAUUGUUUUCGUUAUUAUAUUUAUAGUCAAACUCAUCAAACUGCAAAUGAUUUAUAUUAUAGUCAAGUUCUCUUUCAUCGGAUUGAAGAAAGCCGUCAAUUUUGUCUCUCUUGUUUUGUUAUCAUGGUUAUAGCCACACUCAUCAAUGAGCAAAAAUUUUUACGUUUAUCAAGGGCUCUUUCAUUACGUUGCAGAAACCCAUCACCCUUUUUUUUUUAAUCAUGGUUAUAGCCAAACUCAUCAAUCAGCAAAUGAUAUUUAUGGUUAUUAAGGGCAUUAUUAUAAAGUUGAAGAAAACAGUCAAUUUUACCCAUUUUUCGUUAUAAUGGUUAUAGUAAAACUCUUCAAUUAGCAAAUAAUUUAUACAUUUAUCAAGAGCUCUUUCAUCAAAUAGGAGAAAACCAUCAAUUUUGCUUUCUUGUUUUUUGUUAUCCUGGUUAUAGCCAAACUCACCAUCAACAAAUGUUUUCUACGUUUAUCAAGAGCUUUUUCAUGAGGCCGCAUAAAAUUUUCAUUUUUGCUCUUCUUGUUUUUUUAUCAUGGUUAUAAACUCAUAAAUCAAAAAAUAAUUUCUACGUUUAUCAAUAGGUGUUUCAUUAGGCUAUAAAAAAACCGUUAGUUUCGCUCAUUUUUUUGUUAUCAUGGUUAUAGCCUAUCUCAUCACGGAGCAAAUAAUUUCUACGUAUAUCAAGAGCUCUUACAUCAUCCUGUAAAAACUUAUCAAUUUUGCUUAUUUCCUGUUAUAAUGGUUAUAGCAAAACUUUUCAAUCAGCAAACGAUUUCUACGUUUAUCAAGAGCUAUUUCAUGAAACUACAGAAAACCGUCAAAUCUUCUCCUCUUUUUUUGUUAUCAUGGUUAUAGCCAAACUCAUCAUCAGUAAAUGAUUUCUACGUUUGUCAAUAGUUUUUUCGUGAGCCUGCAGAAAACCGUCAAUUUUGCUCCUUUUUCGUUAUCAUUGUUAUAGCCAAACUCAUCAAUCAGCAAACGAUUUUUAGGUUUAUCAGGAUAUCUUUCAUUAGACAAUAGAAAGCCGUCAAUUCUGGUUAUCUUGUUUUGUUAUCAUGGUUAUAGCCAAACACAUCAAUGAGCAAAUAAUUUCUACGUUUAUCAAGUUCUUUUUUAUGAACUUGCACAAAACCGUCAAUUUUCUUCAUUGUUUUCGUUAUUAUAGUUAUAGUCAAACUCAUCAAUCUGCAAAUGAUUUCUAUGUUUAUCAAAUACACUUUCAUCGGAUUGCAGAAAGCCGUCAAUUUUGUCUCUCUUGUUUUGUUAUCAUGGUUAUAGCCACACUCAUCAAUGAGCAAAUAAUAUUUACGUUUAUCAAGGGCUCUUUCAUUACAGUGCAGAAACCCAUCAACUUUUUUUUUUAAAUCAUGGUUAUAGCCAAACUCAUCAAUCAGCAUAUGAUAUAUAUGGUUAUCAAGGGCAUUUUUAUAAAGUUGCAGGAAACUGUCAAUUUUACCCAUUUUCCGUUAUAAUUGUUAUAGCAAAACUCUUCAAGUAGCAAAUGAUUUAUACAUUUAUCAAGAGCUCUUUCAUCAAAUAGGAGAAAACCGUCAAUUUUGCUCUCUUUUUUUUGGUAUCCUGGUUAUAGCCAAACUCAUCAUCAACAAACAAUUUGUACGUUUAUCAAGAGCUUUUUCAUGAGGCUGCAUAAAACCAUCAUUUUUGCUCUUCUUGUUUUUUUAUCAUGGUUAUAAACUCAUAAUCAGAAAAUAAUNNNNNNNNNNNNNNNNNNNNNNNNNNNNNNNNNNNNNNNNNNNNNNNNNNNNNNNNNNNNNNNNNNNNNNNNNNNNNNNNNNNNNNNNNNNNNNNNNNNNNNNNNNNNNNNNNNNNNNNNNNNNNNNNNNNNNNNNNNNNNNNNNNNNNNNNNNNNNNNNNNNNNNNNNNNNNNNNNNNNNNNNNNNNNNNNNNNNNNNNNNNNNNNNNNNNNNNNNNNNNNNNNNNNNNNNNNNNNNNNNNNNNNNNNNNNNNNNNNNNNNNNNNNNNNNNNNNNNNNNNNNNNNNNNNNNNNNNNNNNNNNNNNNNNNNNNNNNNNNNNNNNNNNNNNNNNNNNNNNNNNNNNNNNNNNNNNNNNNNNNNNNNNNNNNNNNNNNNNNNNNNNNNNNNNNNNNNNNNNNNNNNNNNNNNNNNNNNNNNNNNNNNNNNNNNNNNNNNNNNNNNNNNNNNNNNNNNNNNNNNNNNNNNNNNNNNNNNNNNNNNNNNNNNNNNNNNNNNNNNNNNNNNNNNNNNNNNNNNNNNNNNNNNNNNNNNNNNNNNNNNNNNNNNNNNNNNNNNNNNNNNNNNNNNNNNNNNNNNNNNNNNNNNNNNNNNNNNNNNNNNNNNNNNNNNNNNNNNNNNNNNNNNNNNNNNNNNNNNNNNNNNNNNNNNNNNNNNNNNNNNNNNNNNNNNNNNNNNNNNNNNNNNNNNNNNNNNNNNNNNNNNNNNNNNNNNNNNNNNNNNNNNNNNNNNNNNNNNNNNNNNNNNNNNNNNNNNNNNNNNNNNNNNNNNNNNNNNNNNNNNNNNNNNNNNNNNNNNNNNNNNNNNNNNNNNNNNNNNNNNNNNNNNNNNNNNNNNNNNNNNNNNNNNNNNNNNNNNNNNNNNNNNNNNNNNNNNNNNNNNNNNNNNNNNNNNNNNNNNNNNNNNNNNNNNNNNNNNNNNNNNNNNNNNNNNNNNNNNNNNNNNNNNNNNNNNNNNNNNNNNNNNNNNNNNNNNNNNNNNNNNNNNNNNNNNNNNNNNNNNNNNNNNNNNNNNNNNNNNNNNNNNNNNNNNNNNNNNNNNNNNNNNNNNNNNNNNNNNNNNNNNNNNNNNNNNNNNNNNNNNNNNNNNNNNNNNNNNNNNNNNNNNNNNNNNNNNNNNNNNNNNNNNNNNNNNNNNNNNNNNNNNNNNNNNNNNNNNNNNNNNNNNNNNNNNNNNNNNNNNNNNNNNNNNNNNNNNNNNNNNNNNNNNNNNNNNNNNNNNNNNNNNNNNNNNNNNNNNNNNNNNNNNNNNNNNNNNNNNNNNNNNNNNNNNNNNNNNNNNNNNNNNNNNNNNNNNNNNNNNNNNNNNNNNNNNNNNNNNNNNNNNNNNNNNNNNNNNNNNNNNNNNNNNNNNNNNNNNNNNNNNNNNNNNNNNNNNNNNNNNNNNNNNNNNNNNNNNNNNNNNNNNNNNNNNNNNNNNNNNNNNNNNNNNNNNNNNNNNNNNNNNNNNNNNNNNNNNNNNNNNNNNNNNNNNNNNNNNNNNNNNNNNNNNNNNNNNNNNNNNNNNNNNNNNNNNNNNNNNNNNNNNNNNNNNNNNNNNNNNNNNNNNNNNNNNNNNNNNNNNNNNNNNNNNNNNNNNNNNNNNNNNNNNNNNNNNNNNNNNNNNNNNNNNNNNNNNNNNNNNNNNNNNNNNNNNNNNNNNNNNNNNNNNNNNNNNNNNNNNNNNUAAUUCUCUUGUUUUGUUAUCAUGUUUAUAGUCAAACACAUCAAUGAGCAAAUAAUUUCUACGUUUAUCAAGUUCUUUUUUAUGAACUUGCAGAAAAUCGUCAAUUUUGUUAAUUGUUUUCGUUAUUAUAGUUAUAGUCAAACUCAUCAAUCUGCAAAUGAUUUCUAAGUUUAUCAAAGUCUCUUUCAUCGGAUUGCAGAAAGCCGUCAAUUUUUUUCUCUCUUGUUUUGUUAUCAUGGUUAUAGCCACACUCAUCAGUGAGCAGAUAAUAUUUACGUUUAUCAAGGGCUCCUUCAUUACUUUAAAGAAACCCAUCAACAUAUUUAUUUUUAUCAUGGUUAUAACCAAACUCAUCAAUCAGCAAAUGAUAUUUAAGGUUAUCAUUGUUUAUAACCAACUCAUCAAUCAGCAAAUGAUUUCUACGUUUCUCAAAACCUCUUUCAACAGGCUGCAGAAAAUUGUCUAUUUUGCUCUUUUUUUUUUUUUAUCAAUGUUUUUACCAAACUCAUCAAUCAGCAAAUGAUUUAUUCGUUUAUCAAGAGCUAUUUUAUUACACAGCAGAAAACUGUCAAUUUUACUCUUCUUUUUUUGUUAUCAUGGCUAUUGCCAAACUCAUCAAUCAUCAAAUGAUUUCUAUAUUAAUAAAGAGCUCUUUCAUUAGGCUGCAAAAAAUCUUCAAUUUUGCUCUUUUUCCAUUAUAAAGGUUAUAACAAAAAUCUUCAAUCAACAAAUGAUUUUUACGUUUAUCGAGAGCUCUUUCAUCAGACUGUAAAAAACCGUCAAUUUUGUUCGUUUUUUUUGUUAUCAUGGUAUUACAUCAUCUGCAAAAAAUUUCUACUUUUAUCAGAAGAUUUUUCAUGAACCUCUAGAAAACUCCCGAUUUUGCUCUCUUUUUUUUAUCAUUGUUAUAGCUAAACUCAUCAAUAAGCAAAUGAUAUCUACGUUUAUCAAGGUCUCUUUCAUCGAAUUACAGAAAGCCAUCAAUUUUGUCUCUUUUGUUGUCUUAGCAUGGUUAUAGCCAAACUCAUCAAUCAGCGAAUGAUUUCUACAUUUAUCAAGAGUUUUUUCAUGAAGUUGUAGAAAACAGUCAACUUUGCUCCUCUUGUUUUUUUUUUAUCAUGGUUAUAGCCAAACGCAUAAAUAAGAAAAUAAUUUCUACGUUUAUCAAUAUUUCUUUCUCGAGGCUAAAAGAAACCGUCAAUUUUGCUCUUUUUUUUUGUAAUCAAGGUUAUAGCCAACUCAUCAAUCGGCAAAUGAUUUCUAAAAUUAUCAAGAGCUCUUUCAUCAAGCUGUAGAAAAGUGUCUAUUUUGCUCUCUUUUAUUGUUAUCAUUAUUAUAGCCAAACUCAUCAAUCAGCAAAUGAUUUAUACGUUUAUCAAGAGCUCUUUCAUUAGACAGUAGAAAACUGUCAAUUUUGCUCCUAUUUUUUUGUUAUCAUGGCUAUAACCAAACUCAUCAAUCAGCAAAUAAUUUCUAAGUUAAUCAAGAGCUCUUUCAUCAGGCUGUAGAAAACCUUCAAUUUUGCUCAUUUUCCGUUAUAAUGGUUAUUGCAAAACUCUCCAAUCAGCUAAUUACUGAUUUUUACGUUUAUCAAGAUCUCUUUCAUAAGAUUAUAGAAAGCCGUCAAUUUUGCUCCUUCUUUGUAUUUAUCAUGGUUAUAGCCAAACUCAUCAUCAGCAAAAGAUUUCUAAGUUUAUCAAGAGGUUUUUCGUGAGUCUACAGAAAACCAUCAAUCUUGCUCAUUCUUUUCGUUAUCAUUGUUAUAGCCCAACUCAUCAAUCAACAAAUAAUUUCUAUGUUAAUAAAGAUCUCUUUCAUCGGACUACAAAAAACCGUCCAUUUUGUCUAUGUUGUUCAGUUUUUAUUGUUAUAGCCAAACUCAUUAAUGAGAAAAUAAUUUAUACGUUUAUCAAGAGCUCUUUCAUUACACUGUAGAAAACAGUCACUUCUGCUCCUUUUGUUAUGUUAUCAUGGUUAUAGCCAAACUCAUCAACCAGUAAAUGAUUUCUACGUUUAUCAAGAUCUCUUUCAUCGAACUGCAGAAACCGUCAAUUUUGCCCCUUUUUUGUUAUAAUGGUUAUAGGAUAACUCUUCAAUCGGCAAACGAUUUAUACGUUUAUCAAGAUCUCUUUCAUAAGACUAUAGAAAGCCGUCAAUUUUGCUCCUUCUUUGUAUUUAUCAUGGUUAUAGCCAAACUAAUCAUCAGCAAAAGAUUUCUAAGUUUAUCAAGAGCUUUUUCGUGAGCCUACAGAAAACCAUCAAUCUUGCUCAUUCUUUUCGUUAUCAUUGUUAUAGCCCAACUCAUCAAUCAGCAAAUAAUUUCUAUGUUAAUCAAGAUCUCUUUCAUCGGACUACAAAAAACCGUCCAUUUUGUCUAUGUUGUUCAGUUAUCAUUGUUAUAACCAAACUCAUUAAUGAGCAAAUAAUUUAUACGUUUAUCAAGAGCUCUUUCAUUACACUGUAGAAAACAAUCAUUUCUGCUCCUUUUGUUAUGUUAUCAUGGUUAUAGCCAAACUCAUCAAUCAGCAAAUGAUUUCUACGUUUAUCAAGAUCUCUUUCAUCGAACUGCAGAAAACCGUCAAUUUUGCCCCUUUUUUUGUUAUAAUGGUUAUAGGAAAACUCUUCAAUCGGCAAAUGAUUUAUACGUUUAUCAAGAGCUCUUUCAUUAGACUUUAGAAAACCGUCAAUUUUGCUCCUUCUUUGUAUUUAUCAUGGUUAUAGCCAAACUCAUCAUCAGCAAAAGAUUUCUACGUUUAUCAAGAGCUUUUUCGUGAGCCUACAGAAAACCAUCAAUCUUGCUCAUUCUUUUUGUUAUCAUUGUUAUAGCCCAACUCAUCAAUCAGCAAAUAAUUUCUAUGUUAAUCAAGAUCUCUUUCAUCGGACUACAAAAAACCGUCCAUUUUGUCUAUGUUGUUCAGUUAUUAUUGUUAUAGCCAAACUCAUUAAUGAGCAAAUAAUUUAUACGUUUAUCAAGAGCUCUUUCAUUACACUGUAGAAAACAGUCACUUCUGCUCCUUUUGUUAUGUUAUCAUGGUUAUAGCCAAACUCAUCAAUCAGCAAAUGAUUUCUACGUUUAUCAAGAUCUCUUUCAUCGAACUGCAGAAAACCGUCAAUUUUGCCCCUUUUUUGUUAUAAUGGCUAUAGGAAAACUUUUCAAUCGGCAAACGAUUUAUACGUUUGUCAAGAUCUCUUUCAUAAGACUAUAGAAAGCCGUCAAUUUUGCUCCUUCUUUGUAUUUAUCAUGGUUAUAGCCAAACUCAUCAUCAGCAAAAGAUUUCUACGUUUAUCAAGAGCUUUUUCGUGAGCCUACAGAAAACCAUCAAUCUUGCUCAUUCUUUUCGUUAUCAAUGUUAUAGCCCAACUCAUCAAUCAGCAAAUAAUUUCUAUGUUAAUCAAGAUCUCUUUCAUCGGACUACAAAAAACCGUCCAUUUUGUCUAUGUUGUUCAGUUAUUAUUGUUAUAGCCAAACUCAUUAAUGAGCAAAUAAUUUAUACGUUUAUCAAGAGCUCUUUCAUUACACUGUAGAAAACAAUCAUUUCUGCUCCUUUUGUUAUGUUAUCAUGGUUAUAGCCAAACUCAUCAAUCAGCAAAUAAUUUCUACGUUUAUCAAGAUCUCUUUUAUCGAACUGCAGAAAACUGUCAAUUUUGCCCCUUUUUUUGUUAUAAUGGUUAUAGGAAAACUCUUCAAUCGGCAAACGAUUUAUAUGUUUAUCAAGAUCUCUUUCAUAAGACUAUAGAAAGCCGUCAAUUAUGCUCCUUCUUUGUAUUUAUCAUGGUUAUAGCCAAACUCAUCAUCAGCAAAAUAAACACACGUUUAUCUAUAUAGAAAUCAUAUUCCAAAAUAAUUCAAAACAAAGCUAAAAAGUGAUCUAAUUUACAUAUAUGCGGCAUGAGCAGUGUUAAUAAUACGAAUCAACUCUUAGUUCUGGCAACGCGAUCACUAAGUUUAAGAAAAUGGAAACAAUUUAAAUGCAAGGAGAAAGUUAUAUGAACCAAGAACUGGUUCUAGCAACAACCAUACGAAUCAACUCUUAGUUCUGGCAACUCUUAGUUUUGUUACGUACUUGUUUUCCACAAUACCAUGCAAAGAGUAGAACCCAUAAGAGAGAUUUCAGUUACUAAUGAGAAGGUAACUGAUGAAUUAAAUAUUAAGUUAGCUUUACCAUAUAUGUGAUUUCCAUCUGCCAUUUCUUAAUAUGUUUUCGUUUAAUCAAACUAGAAAUCUUAGUUCUCUCCUUACGAACAUAAAGAGACAAAUACAAAAACAAAAAGCGUAACAUGAUCCAGAUUUAGGAUACUCACAUUUUUUAUCAUAUGUCAAAAAGAGAAAAAAUGAAAACCUAAUUUUAAUAUCAAAUUAGUUAAAAUUUUUAAUUAAUAUCAAAUAAGAAAUAAAAGAAAGUUUACUUCAAUUUUAUUUAGAUGUUAAGGUUUAUGAUUUUGAGAAGGAGAAAGAGAAACUCUAGAGCUCUAAAGCGAUAGAGCAAAGUUGUUAAGUCUAUGAAAUAGAUCAAAGCAAAAAUGGAGAUAUGAAAUACACAUGACUAAGGUAAACAUAUGUAUAAACCAAAUCAUGAUGAAACCAUAAUGUUCUUUGAGAAGGAGAACCAAUGCCAAUGUUUUGUUAGAGUUUGCUAGUUAUAGAGAUACCGAAUAACAAAGAUGAGAUGAAACUAAAUCCAAGAAAAUAAAGAGUAAGAGAUAUAAAAUACCAUUUCUAUUUGCAUAUAAUUCUUACUUACGCAUAGAAUUUGUUUUUUGUUUUAUUAUAAAUCUUGACUUAGUCGUAUACAUACAUUAUGUUUAGUUACGUACAUAUAAAUGCAAUACUUUGCAUGAAAGGGAACCCUUAAAACUACUAAAGGGUAGAUAAUGAUAUGAAAUGAUGCCCCUACCACUAACACAAAAUAAAAUUCCCCAAGUUUUUUUUUUCAUUUGCCCUUGUUUACCACUCAAAGUCUAUCUCCAAAAUCGCAUUAAGGGUGAUUAAGACAAAUUAUCUCAACUUUUAAUCACAAUAUCCUUUGCCCCAACUUUGAAUAUGGUGCGUUUCUACUUGUACAAUAUAUAGAGAUCGACACAAUAUUGACUUAUAUAUCCCUAACGAUUACACUAUACAAAAAUCGAAUUAGAUUUUUAAGAGUAAUUUAUUAUGGGUGAUUAAGACAAAUUAUUGCCUCCUUGCCCCAACUUUGAAUAUUAUGCGUUUUCACUUGUCAAAUAUAUAUCUACUAAAUUAUACUAAAAAUCUUGAAAAAUUAUGGAUAACGAUGACCGAGAAAAAAAGUAUGAACUAUAUGCGACUAUGUUAUUCUUUUAUACCGAAAUUUGUUUAGGUUAGUGAAGCCAUCUUUUUUUUUUUGGUGAGAUGGUUGAUGAAGUCAUUAAAAACACUUUAACAUAUAAUUUUGACUUAGAUAUACACUUAGGAUAUGGUUUUAAAAAAUCUAGUAUAUGAUAUGUAAAAAGUAUGCUUCAUGUUAGACGAUGUUAUAAUAAGAUAACCAAAAAAUUUCGUAUUUUCUAUAAGAAAUAAAAACAUCAUUUUUCUGUUCAUAUUUAAAAUGAGACUAUUAGAUAAAAAUAUUUUAUCAUCUUUUAGAUGAGUUUUUAGGUUGAUUCAUCCUCUGUAAGCUUCAAGAGCUGAUGAAGAUCAUAGUGGUAAAGUUUAACAUUUUGUUUGAUUCCUUACUUAAAUUUUGUUUUGCCAAAAUCACUAUAAAAAUAUGAAUUGGUUUUAGUUGCGAUAAAAUAUAAAACUCAAAACUCUUUUUGUUACAAAUAAAGAUAAAUCUCACAUACCAAAAAGAUUUAAGAGGUCAAAUGUCGAUGGAUACAUAUAAAAAACAAUUAUAAAUUUUGAAAUUAUUCGAUCUACUUUUCAACAAUAAAUUUUUUUAUAUUAAUCUUAUUAUUUUAGAUACAACUAAACACGAGUAAAUAAUCAUAACAAAAAAAACUUACUUAUCUCAAAAUAUCCGAUUGAGACACAUAUCAAUCCGAGUACUUUCGAUCGAGAUAGAUACCAAUCCGGGUACUUUAAUAUCAUAUGUAUUCAUUUAAUUUAAACUAUACUUUUACUACACAAACUCAGCAUUUUUUUCACAAAACAUGUGAUAUUUCCAUAUUUUAAUAUCAUAAAGGCAAGUUAAACCAUUAUCUUUUUAAUGAAUAAAUAAUAUAAAUAUGAAUCUAGCCAUAUAAUUUUUUUUUGUUCUCGAAGGAAUAACCUAAAAAACAAUCAAUAUUUACACCUUGUUAUUUCUUUUCCAAUUUAAACCACAUUUUUAAUAAUAAAAAUAAAAUCGAAAUAACUUUAUAUGUUUUUUUUAGACAGACGAAAAAUUAUAUUUAGGACUAUCAUAUUCCCUAUAAAAAAUAAUAUAAUUUUAUUUUUAUUUAUAAAAUAGAUAAAAUAUUAGAAAAAGGAAUUGAUAAUCACUACACCUUGUUUAACAUAUCUUAUGUUACAAAAACAAUUAAGAAUUAGAUUGAGAUUGAUGUUAAAUUUUUUAAAAAGAUGUGAUAAUUUCUUGAAUAUGGAGAAGGACGAAAAGAAAAGUAGCAUAUAUUAUCACAAGAUAUUAUACGUUAUUAUUAGUACAUCUUAAAACAUUAAACAAAAAUACCAAUAAAUCUCUUAAACAAAAUACAGUUAUACAUAAUAAAGAAGUAAAGAACCUAUCCAUGUAACGAAUGUAUUUGUGCCGAUGGACUCCAUCUUCUGAAUGGUGACUGGUACCAACAAAAUCUGUAUCCCAACAUCUUUCAAUACGGUUCUCCAAGUUGAGAACAUAAAUGGAGACCCAAUUUUGUUAAUAACAUAUCAUUAAACAUUUUUUUAAAAAAAUAGAACUAAAGGGAGAUUACUUAUACAAAUAAGAUCGGACAUGCCUUCAUCCUUUACAACAACAAAUAUUUUAAUAUAAAUAUUAGUUUGUUGAAUCUAACUCUCUAGGUUUUUUUUUUGAUAAAAACUCUCAAUUUUUUAAUUACUGAUUUUGGAACAACAGAAUUGAUAACUAUGCAAGAAAGCUACCAAACCAUUUGAAACACAAUAUAGUUUGUUGCGAGCUUACCGUCUUAGACGAUGAAAUUAAAUCGUAUAUGGCGCUUAUAGUUCGUGGUAUGUUACGAAAACAUUGCAACACCAAUAUAAAUUAUACAUCCACAAGAACAACAUAUAUAUUAUAAGUCAACAAUAUACAUAUAUACAUAUAUAAAAAUAUAUAUAUAUAUAUAUAUAUAUAUAUAUAUAUAUAUAUUAUAAAGCACAAUAACGUAAAACAAAACAAACAUAGAGUACUAUAAAAGUGACCAGGCUUAUGAAAUUCUAAACACUGGACAUACAACAAAUCAAACAGUAUCGUUUCCAUCUCCCUUCGCCACCAUGGAACCCCUUCUUCUUGUUGGAUUGCUAGUGGACUUAACCCAAGUAGUACUCAUAUGGUUGGGAUGCAAGAGCUCGUCGUAUUCACCAACUCAAGUGGCCAAUGCCAGGCCUAUACAUCUUCCGUGAGUUGCUACGACACGCAACUCAUGUGGUAAUCUUAGCUUCCUUGUGAAUCGCGUCUCCGAGACUCUGAUCAAUGUCGAAGCUACCAUCUACGCAACUCUUGAGUUGCCAUUGAAUUUGAGCACGGCCAACCAACUUUGGCAGGUGGGAACUGUUGUUAAUGGUGUUCAUUCGAGGAAUCAAAUGACAGGAGAUAAUAUGAGAUCGAGUGGUUGGACUGAUAUUCGAACAUGUCAUAUAAAAGACUCCAUUGACCACAUACCUUUGUGCUCCAUUAAUCAAAGAGCUGAGUCGAGAAAACAAUCAAUUUUGUUGGAGUGAUAUUUCCGUAGUGGAAUUAUUCUCGAGGGUUUGGUCUUCCUGAUACAUGCAAAUAAAAAAGAAGCAAAUCUCUUGUUUUUAUUUAUGAAAUUUGACUUUUGUUUUGCUUCUCUGGCCUUCUCUUGUCGAAGAUUAAAAAAAAAAAGCAAUACCAUUUUUUUCAAAUAAGUCUUCUAUGAGACAAUGUCAUAAACUUGUUUCCUCUCUCGUGCAAUAACUAAAUUACGGUUUCAAAUUACUCUGAAAUUGACUUUUGGGUUUCCGAAUAGUCUCCAGCGUUCUACACGAUGAUUCCUCCUUUAUAAUAUGGUAUUAAAGGGAUCUCUAAACACUGCACCAAACAAAAAUAUAAGUAAUUUAAUAAAAAAAAUUAUACUAAAGAUUUAGGAGACAAUAUAAUUGAGUUACAGGACAGUAAACAAAAUAUGCAUACGAAAAAAUUACCAAAUACAAAAUAUAGUUAGAUUAGAGAAUACUUUUAUAUAGGAUGAAACAAACCACAAUAUUUUCUAAAAAACUUUUAUUCAUUAAACAAAUAUGUUCGACUAAAAAGAGAGAGAGGCUAACCUGUUUUGUUCAUGAAGAUAUAUAAGUAUCUACAAUACCUGCUUAAAGAUGACAUCCAAGUUGGUGUUCCAGCUAGCAUCUGAUUUGUAACGAAAAUAUUGUAACCCUAAUAUGAAUUAUAAAUUCAUAAUGAAAAAAAAAAAGAGAUUGUUAGUGCAUGAAAGAUAGAAGAUCACCUGUCAAUCGGUUGCAGACGGAUCUGAACUUUGCAUCUAUAGAUUCACUUGCUUCCACAUACCCAAUCUGCGAUAAUUACACAGGUAAAAAAUAUUAAUAUUGCUAUAAAACGGUUUAAAUUAUCAAGGAAAGCAAAAAUCAUAACAACAUGAUAAAAAUUUUGAUUUAGAGAAACCAAAAAGACCAAAAAAAAAAUUACGAAAACAAACAUCCAGAAAACUGCCAAAUAAAAUGUGUCCCAAACCGAAAUAUCACAAGUACCACCUUGUCCCGGACCAUCGCAAGGAAAACUAAAAUAUACAAACCAAAACUAUAGAAGUACCUUUCCAAACCUCGUUUUCUUCUCGUCAACACCACCUUCGUCCGAAAGCUUUGUCGAUGGAACCUCUCACGUUCUACAAAACUGAAACACCUACCAAAAGAAUCAUAUCAGUAAAACAAUAAAUCAACGAACUAAUGCAAAAAAUAAAACAAACAACACAAACAAUAUGCACAAGACCUCUAAAGGUAAAUGAAAACAAUAUUUGCAUGACAAACAAUUUGAUUCAUCAGAAUCGUAGUUGUAUAACAAAACCAUAACGGUGAAAACUAUAUAAUGGGCACAGAAAAAAUAAUACAUAAUUCUCUGGCCGAUCAACAAUAUAUAUAGCUUUAAGAUUAGGGCAAACAUCAAUCAUUAUCUUAAGAAAUUUAACUUUUUAAUUAGAAACUAAAUCAGAAAACUAACAAAAACUAAUAUUAACUACUAAGAUAUAGAAUUAUCCAAAAAAUUAACAAAUAAAUUUAAGCUAAGAUUCCAUAAUACUUAAAGUCGAGACAUUAUGACAUUCGUAUCCCAAACGAUUACACUAUAUUAAAAAAAUUAAGGGUGAUUAAGACUAAUCAUCUCAAAACACGAUUAGACUUAUAUACCCCUAACAAUUAAGAACAAAAAAUCUCGACAUCGAGGGUGUUUAGGACAUUAUUAUAGAGAUCAACAUACGAUUAGACUUAUAUACCCCUAAUUACGAAGAAGAAGAAAUUUCGAGAAGAACAAUUCAUUAAGGGUGUUUAGGACAAAUCAUUCUGACGUUUAAUCACUUUGAAUAUGGUGUAGAAUUACUUGUCAAAUAAUUAUCGUAGAGAUGGCAACACUCAAUAUUAUUGUUUUCGAUAUAAAACCUAACAAAUCCAAGUAAUACAAUAUCUUCUUGUAAUCGUGUACUUAACAAAUCAAAAAAUACAAUAUAUCAAAGUAUAUUUGCUACACAACAGUGCAACAAAUCAUAAUAAUGUAAAUCUACAAAGCAUCAAAUAUACAUAUCUAUCUUGGCAAUUUUUUUUUAAUUUGUUACCAUAUGAUAGAAUACAAACCGUACAACAUAGGCCAAAGGAAAGAGAACUACAAAUGUCUCAUAGCCUAAUUGUAUUUAAUCCUAGUUGUACAAUAGAGAGAAUUUCACAUCGUUCCCAAUCCAACCACAUAGCUCACAAUCACAGGAUUAAGUCAGUCUCGUGAGAAAUAAUUAUGCUUUUUCUGUCCCUUUAAGAGCAUUGUCCCUUGUUACUGUUCUUCUUCCUCGCCUCCUCAUUCUCCUUACGCAAGCCGUUCAUCUAUUCUUCAAGGACGUUUACUCUAUAUCUACCUUGAUCAUUUCAAGGCUUUUGCGUCUCUCUGAGAGCAACCAUCCCGUCCUUCUAAUUCAGCAGGUCGUUGAUCAUCUUGGUGGGAGAGCUUGUAGGCACCAUUUUAGCAACUGGCUCUUCCUCGAGAAUCACCAACAUGCUCUUCUUCUUCUCCUCCUUCAUGAAAGAUCUUGGUAUAUGGUACCUGUCCACCAUAUAUAGAUGGGUUUAGUCUCAAAUCAGUUUUUUGUCCUGCAAGUCAUAUUUCUAAAAACCUACUCCGUUUGAAUUGGCUCUCCGAGUGGAGAAACGAAUGACAUCCAGUAUCUCCCUACGCCAAUUCCAUUAACCCAAAUCAAUCCCUUUCCCAUUCCUUUCAUCCUAAUGGCGACCGCGUUCUCUCCUUCUGGUGUCUCAAAGUAGGUCUGCGAAUCCAUUUAUUACGACAAAUCUGUAAACAUCACAAGAAACGUUUUAUUGAGUUAUAUGUUUACCUUGUACCACGUAAGAGGCUUAUGUUCACCAUAUUUCUCCCAUUUCACCUUCUUAGAUCCUUCCUCUGUGUACACCUAUUUCUUUUCACCUUCCAAACCGGCCUGCAUUAACCGGAUUAAUCUUCAUUAUAUCCCAAACCAAUAAUAAAAUUGGUCUAUUAUAUUGGUCAGAUGCACAUAAAUACCAAAUGUCCCCAUUCAUUGUUCUCUAUCAAAUCUCGCGUUCCUGACUUUAAACCGAUGAUUGAAACGCCACGUGGACCGGCAUACGUGUGUUCCAUGUAUGAUCCACUGUCCUGAAAGAUUAGAACUAAUUUAUACUUUGUUUGGUGUGACAUAUAUAAUCUCGAUCUUGACUGUUUCUAACUCACUGGUAAUCCGGUUAGUACACCCAAAAUUGAAAUACAAUUAUCUCUGGUUCUUAAGUUAACUGGUUUUGCAAACACGAAACUUUCAUUUCAUGGCUUCCAUGCGCAUUACCUACAACAAAAAUAUAGCAAACAUAAAACUCUCUCUGUGUGUCUUAUAUCCCCUCAAAUGACUGUUUAAGUACUUGCGUAUUCUCCAUUAACGUAAACGAUUAAUGCGUGACCAAGACCCGCUACUCUCAGUAUCGUCUUCUGACCUUUCUGGUCUGGUAUGUCAUCAUCUUCAAUCUUUAUGCUGUAGCCAUGGAAUCAACUCAAAAAUUAAGUCUCUCUAUAAAGCUUAAAAGACCAAAAAAGGAAAUGUUGCUUGUGAAGGAAGUUAGUUACCUUGUGGUAUACCAAGCAUAAUCUGUUUUGUCCUUAGUUAAGUAAUAAAGCUCCCCCAGAAUCAAGGAAUCACCGUCGAGUAUGGAAGGAAUAUCUUCACUAAACAUCUCAAAUUUGAGACCUUUGCUUGUCUUCUCGGACUUGACAUCUCAAAUCCACUGAACGUAAAACCAUUAAUUAUUUCUAUAAGAAAACUAUUACUUAUUUUGCUAUGAAACCAGCAUGCUAUCUUGAAACGUAAUCAACUGAUCAUUAAAUUACAAAACUAAGAACAAACCCAAAAAAAAACUAAACACAACAACUAAUAAUACCUUAACAGUUUUUUUUUGUUUCUUCAUCAACUCGUCCGUCCGAACAUGGUUUUGAUUGAGGAUCCCAUGAUCCGUAAACCUAAAACACCAACCAAGCAACCCAAAUUUAGUAAAACAAUAUUGAUAGAAAAUCCGUAGAACAACAAACAAAAUCUCAUCAAAUAUAAAAAAUGGAAUCUCAAGUCUCUAUCUAAAGACUUAUGAUGUUUUAAGCCGUUUUCCUUCCACCAAAACAUAAGCCAAUCCAAUCUUUUGUCUUAAGGAUUGUUUUUUCGAAUCUCAAGUCUUUGUCUAAAGACUUAUGGUGUUAAAAGCCGUGGGUAACUGUUUCUUUGUCUAAAAACUGAAAGACCAAAUCGAACAUGAUCCAUGUCUAGAGAUUUUCAAGUCGUGGGUAACACAAGGGAUCAAUGUUCGAAUCAGUCUCAGUUUAAAGACUAAUGUUUGAAGCCGUAGGUACCAUUUUCCUUCCACCAAACAUAAGUCUAUCUCAGUCUCUGUCUAAAGACUAAUGUUUUGAGCCGUGGGUACCAUUUUCCUUCCACCAAACAUAAGUAAAUCUUAUUCUCUGUCUAAAGACUAAUGUUUUAAGCUGUGGGUACCAUUUUCCUUCUACCAAACAUAAGCCAAUCUCAGUCUCUGUCUAAAGACUAAUGUUCUAAGCCGUAGGUACCAUUUUCCUUCUACCAAACAUAAGCCAAUAUCAGUCUCUGGUCUAAAGACUGAUGAUGUUUAAGCCAUGGGUACUGUCUCUUUGUCUAAAAACUGAAAGAACAAAACGAACAUGAUCCAUGUCUAGAGAUUUUCAAGCCGUGGGUACCAUGAAGGAUCAAUGGUCGAAUCACCCUCAGUCUAAAGACUAAUGUUUGAAGCCGUGGGUACCAUUUUCCUUCCACCAAACAUAACCCAAUCCAAUAUUUUGUCUAAAUAAUUCGUUUUCCGAAUCUCAGUCUCUGUCUAAAGACUGAUGAUGUUUUAAGCCGUGGGUAACUUGAUCUUUGACCAGUAAACUGAAACCAAUCCCAAGUAUAUAUGUCGAAAUAAUAAGCCGUGGAUAAAGGAUCGGUUUUCAGUCUCAGGUCAAAAUUUCCCAUAAGCCAUGGGUCCAAACUCGACGGGACAAUGUGCCAAAGAAAGAUUCUAACAAAACACUAAUAAUUGAGUGUCUGCCUAUGAUCUCUCUUGGGUUCGAAUGAAAAACAAAAUAAGAAAGAAAUCAAACAAAACAGAAAAACACAAGCAAUAAACCACAACUGAUCGCAACAAUUUCAUGCUUAUCAAAUUAUGCAAAGCGCUACAGAAAAAAAAAAAAAAAAAAAAAACACGAACCAAAAACAAAAUCAAUUAAAACUAAAAAAAAAGAAGAAGAAAGAACUUGUAAUUCACAGAAGAAAACAAAACUUUGAAACACGAAUUUUUCGGUUGUGCAAAUAUCAAAAGCCUCUUCAAAACGAAAAAAAAAAAAAAACCAAAAGAAAAAACGAAAACAUUAUAAUAGUGAAAUUUAGAAAUCCUAGAAAUCAAGAGGAUUUGAAGAAUUCUUACAGUAAUAAUCGCUACAAAUCUUCCUCAAUCUUGAAUGAUUACAAUCGAGAGAAAUAUGCGAAACAAAGAAAAAACUUAUAAUAGUGAAAUCUAAAAACCCUAGAAAUCAAGAGAAUUGGAAGAUUAUUGCUUCAAAUCAUCUUCCGUCAUAAAAUAUCGAUCGAGAGAAAUAUGCUAAUUAGAGAAAGAAGAAGCAAAACAAAAUCUGAGAAAAUUAUGAGUCUCUCUGGUAAGCUGUGUAGAUGGAAGCAAAGAAAAUCAGUAAAUUUAUAAGGGUCUAUAAUGUAAGGAGCAGAAACAUGAAAGUAUAUAUGAUUACAUGUCUAUUCAUUCGUAAUAAAUAUUACCUAGAGAUUCCGAGAUUGAAGAUCUCCUUAGCAGUUUUCACCUUCUUCUUAAACUCCCAUGUGCAAAGCAUAAGCUAUGUAGUAGACAGCAUGUGUCUUAUCAAUCUCAUUGAUCUCCAAAAACUUGUAAAUCACUUUCGCAUCAGCGCAAUGCUCCGCCAUCAAAAACACAAAAAUUAUGAGUAACAUUGACAAAAAAAAAAUUAUUUCGUUAUGUAGUGCAUGGUAAAAAAAUAUUUUACAUCAGAUCCGAUGAGAGACAACUAUCAAUAAUUAAACCAACACAAAUUAUAAAAUUGUAAGUAAUUUACAAAGAGACAUAAGAGAAACGCUAACUAAAAUUAAAGAGGACUCACGAUUGAUGUAAAAAGUUUGUUAAUGAAUUUAAUGAAGAGGCAUGUCUUCAUCAACUCGUUCAUUCAAUCUCUUGAUAGAAACUCCCAUGAGCGGUUACCUAAAACAUAAUUCACACGAUACAAAUCAGCAAAACAAUAACAAUCUUGAUAAUUCAUAGACCAAGAUAAUAACAAUACAAAUAUAACCUCAAGAAAAGGUAAAAAAUAAUAACGCAAAAUAAAUCGAUCCAUAAAAGAACCAAAGCAACAAAAAAAAAGCUAUAAUAUCAAAACGAUAUGUUUAGGCUAACGAAUCUGAGUUCUAAUGGUGUGGUUGCGGCUCUAUAUUUAUAGUUUAAUAUCUAGGGCACACCGUCAUAAUUAUCUCUAAAAAUUUAUUUUUUAAAAUUGGAAAAUUUCUUGAUAAAAAUAUUCGUAAUAUAUUUUAGUAUCUAUCUUAAAUUUUUAUAAAAAUUAAAAAACAAAAUAUUCUAUAUUUUAAUAUUUAAAAACGAAAUAUUCUAUAUUUUAAUAUUAAAAAACAAAAUAUUCCAUAUUUUAAUAAAAUUCACACGAUUUUAUUGUUUUACCCUCACCAAAAAAUAGAAAACUGGAUUUGAUAGUGUAUUCAUUAAGGGUGAUUAAGACUAAUCAUCACAAAACACGAUUAGACUUUUAUACCCUUAACAACUAAGAACAAAAAUUUUCGAAUUGAGGGUGUUUAGGACAUUAUUAUAGAGAUCAACACACGAUUAGACUUAUAUACCCCUAAUUACGAAGAAGGAGAAAUUUCGAGAAGAACAAUUCAUUAAGGGUGUUUAGGACAAAUCAUUCUAACUUUUAACCACAGGCCUCCAAUGCCCUAACUUUCAAUAUAGUGCGUUUCUACUUCUCAAAUAAUUAUUGUAGAGAUUAACUCUUGGAGUGUUUGGUUUCUAGAGAUCUUUAGGCCAUCUUUAUCGGGCAUCUGACUUCUAAGAUCUUAAGACAUAUUAAUAAUAUAAUAAUGGAGAGAGAGACGAGAGUUAAUUGAUGAGAGAGACAAAACACUUUGACCGAAAUCAAUUUUCCCAACAAAACAAAAAGAUUUUUCAUUAUUCAAAAUUCGUAUCCACUCAAGAAGUGACACGUGGCGCUGGGACCUUUGCUACAACACUUCUUCGGCAAGACCUGAAGCUUGCCUCUCACCAUACUAUUUGAUUAUUUUUUCUUUUUUUUUUUAAUCUAAGACCAUGAGUGUGUGUUACACAUGGUCUUAGGGAGUUUCACUGGUGCGUACAACUUGAAUAUUGUGCCUAUAUAUUGCACCUUUUGUGUGUAUUGUGAAGAUUAAUACUGUUGAUCCCUUUAAUGUUCCUAUGAACACAAAUACUCUUGGAAUUCUUGUAAAUAUAGAUAUUAGCUUCAUCUUUAUUGAAUUGGCUUGUGAAAGCUCAACUAUUCAUCUAUGAUCAAUAGUUGUAUACAUUUGAUAAGUUUCCGCAUAUUCCCUUUACAUGCUUAUGUUGAAUUUCCUAGGUAAAUUAGCUCCAUGUAAUUUUGCAUCCUAAAUAUUUUUAUGGUGAAUGAAUAAGAAUGGUUUUUAUCUCAAUCGACAGGAUUUAGAAAAUGCGCUAAUACAUGGAGUCUUAGCUCAACGCAAGGUUCUCAUCAUUCUCUUUCAAAAUAUGAACAAGUGAAGAAUGAUGAGAACUGUGCAUCACAUUAGUCUUCAGGCAUGAAACAUACCGAUUAGUCUAAAGAACCGUGCAUUUUUUGUAGAUGAAAAAAACGGCGGAAAGAAAAAAAGAGGAGUGAUGUCUUUCAUACACCAAACAAACCGAUUAUUCGUUAAAAUCCAUAUUUUUCUAGCACCAAAUAUAUGUAAAGAACCAAUUAUCGUGUAUAAAGACUUUUACAAUUUUUUUAUUCAAUUCCAUAAGAUAACCUCAAAAGUUUUGGAUGUAGUAAAAAAAAAUUAGAGAUUAAUAUAACCAAAAAACAAAAAAAAUAAUGGAAUCUUAUUUUAUUAAUUUUUCUGAUAAAUAUGUAGAGUAUAACAAAAUCUUCUACUCUAAAUUCUGAAAUAUUUGGAUUGAUGUUCAAUAUAUAUUAUUUUACAAUUACAAAUGAUAAUUUUUUCAUUCUCCCUACCAAGCAUUGAAAUAAAAAAUCUCAAGAACCAAAAAAAAAAAAAAAAAACUACUCAACACUGGUCCAUUAUACGCCCAAUAUGUAAAACGAUGACGUAACUACUAAAUUUACAGAUCCAAAGUCUUAAAACUCGGAAGGUUCCGUCUAGGGUUUAAACUUACUAAACGACGUUCGAAGAAUUUGUGAGCCAGUAGAAGCCGCCGGUCUAAGUUAAAGUUCGUUUGGUAAAUUUUAGUUUCCCUCCUAAGUUUUCACUCUAAAUUUUUGAAUCUUUCCUUCCUCUCGACGGACCUGAUAAUGUAUAGAGACAGGUCACAUAACAAUGAUUGGUUUACUAUUUUUUUUAGAUAUAAUUAUUCGUUACAAUCCAUAUUUUUCUAUAACGAGAUAUAUGUAAAGAACCAAUUAUCGCGUCUAAAAUCUUUCACAAUUUUUUUAUUUAAUUCGAUAACAUCAAAAACUUUGGAUGUAGUAGAAAAAAUAUUAGAGAUGAAUCCAACCAAAAAAAAUACUGGAAUCAUAUUUUUUUUUUUUUUGAUAUAUAUGUAUAACAAAACAUUCUACUCAACUUCUCAAAAUUUUAGAUUGAUGUUCAAUAUAUAUUAUUUUACAAUUAGAAAUGAUAAUAUUUUCACUCAACCCACCAACCAUUGAAAUAAAAAAUCUCAGGGAACAAAAAAAAAAAAAAACUACUCACAAUUGGCCCAUUGUAAGCCCAAAAUAUAAAAUGACGACGUAACUACUAAAUUUGCAGAUCUAAAGUCUUAAAACUCAGAAGAUUCCGUCUCGGGUUUAAACUUAAUAGGGAGGUUUGCACAGUAACAUAUUUUUUUCAUGUUUCUACUCACAAAACAUACUUUCUAUAACUCAUAAACUACUUUUCUAUUUCUUCUCAUACUUUUAGGAUAAUUUUACCCUUGUAACACAAACAAAGUUUUCUCGUUCUUUAUUCUCUCUCAAGAACUCAUUUAUUUUGUUUAUCUCUUAUCUGUCUCUUUCUCUUUUCUCUCACUUCCUCUUCCAGCAAAAACUAAAUAAUUUUUAUCUCAUUUUUUCUCAUCAAUCUCUCGUAUCUCUCUUUCUUUUUUCUUCCACUUUCUCUCCUAACAUCAUCGAAACCAUUGAAAUCCAGAAAAAAAAAAAGAAGUUUGUUUCAAUAAUUGUGAUAAUCUUCAUUAAGUGUAAAUGGUGAUACAAAACAAGCUUAAAUACAAGCUAAACUAAACCAAAUAUACUAACCAAUCUAAACCAUAACUAAACCAACUAUAUACACUCUAAUACUCCCCCUCAAGAUGAAAGGCACUUUCAUCUUGGACUUGAAAACUCCAUGAAUAUGUGUCCUCCACAACUUUCUAAGUAAGAGCAGCAUCAAUGGACAUGAAUAUACAUGGCUUGAAACUGAUAAACAUAAUGAGCUUCUGGUGGUCUUGGUCUUGAGGCGCUCUUGUCCAAUAAAGCUAGUAAGCUACCAUCACCAUUAAGCAACAAGAUUAGAUGUCUCUUGAAUAACCAGUCCACAAUGAUCACUGUCAGCUCCCCCUGUCUUGGAACACAGCUUGAUGAUUAACAAGAACCCAUCUUAUAAGAUGCAGAGCUGAAGCAGGAAACAACAGCAGCAAAAAACUGCAAACCAAACUCAUUUUCUGAGAGGUAGAAUCCAUGACUGGGAUAUCCUUUUGUUCAAUAACAAUGGAGUCUCUGAACAUCUUGUAAGUUCCAGAAAUAACAUAAUUUGGAGUCAAAACGGAACAUGGUCCAGAACAUCAACAAAUUGAAAUCUUCUUUCCAUUCUUCGUAUAUGUGAUGGAAUGUGAGAAUUAAACAUGGCAGGGUAAAACCAAUCCAACAAGAGACAUCAAUAUAUCAAACCCUUGAAGUCCAUGUCCUAAGCUCAUUAAAAGAAACUCCAUCUUUUGUUUUCACAAGAAAGCUCAAUAACAGCAACAACGACAUCCAACUGAACGAAUCGCGUUGCAGCAGAGACCAACAACAUCACAAAACACCCAAUUGGUGGCUUGACAACAAGACUUAAGCUUCUGUGACUAGAAACCAUUUAUCCGAGAAGCACUCUCUUUAAAACAACUUGAAUCCACGUGUGAGUAUGAAAACAUGAUUUCUUGUGCACACUAGCAAGCUCUCACCAAUUCCAUAUGCAAGAUUCUGGCUAAGACUCGCUAAUAUUAGCUCUUCCUCUCUACGUACAAAACUAGCUUCCAAAGUUCUCCAUACCACAAUAACUACAACAUCACAGAGAUUUCCACAGCCUACAUAUCUAUAGAUCGAGUUCAGAAGUAUACAUACGGCAUUAAAUGGAACGUCCGGCGGCCUUGGAAGUGAACCAAAGAAGAGCAUCAACACUAUCGCUAAAUGCAACCAUGAAGUGUCUCUACACAGCUUAUCGUCAACAAGAUACACUUCUUGUGGAACAACAGAAGGCACAACAAUAUAAGGCAUCGACGAGGGAGAAUCCAUCACAUAUAUAGAUUCAAAGAUCAAACUGCAGACAUGUAACCAAAUCUCAAAUUCAUGGACUGAAAACGGAGAAGCUCAAAACGAGAACGUCAAGAUCAAUCUAGGAGCUGAGGCAGUUAAAUCGGAGAAGAGAUUAUGAAAUUGAAGCUCAGAUUAAGGAAUUCGAAGCUCGCUUUUGAUGAAACGGAGCUCGAUUAGAAAAGAAACGCGAUCAAUUUUGAUGAAUCGAUCGGAUAAUGAAGGAUCAACUCUGAUCUAGAAGAAAUAGUCGAUUGCGACUAAGAUAAACGCGAUCAACUUGAUCGGAAUGAAAACGAAGAACAAUGAACAUGAUAUAACAGAAGCGCGAUCGAUGUGAUGAAACGAUCGGAAGAAAAACAGAUAAAAAUGGAUGAUAACACGAUCAACUAUGAUCGGAAAAAAAUGAACACGAUCAGCUUUGAUCGGAAACAAAAAAAAAUAGAUGAAAGAAAAAGAUAACAACCGGAAUCGAAACAAGAUUUCUCCGGUGAAGAAACACAAUCAACCAAACUGAAUACUUCGAUCGGAGAAGAAACAGAUCGAAGAAACAAAUCGGAGAACACGAUGGAUUGAUCGGAAAAAUCAACCAAUCGGAAAAAUCAAACGAUCAAUCGAAACGAAAUUGAUCGGAGAAACUGAAUCUCCAAGCAAAUCGAGUGAAGAAUCGAAAAAAACGACAACAAAAAAUCAGAGAAUCGAAUUAAGUGGAAGAAGUGAAUGAAGUUUAUAUUCAGUCACUCUUUGUUUUUUUUGACACCGGAGUAUCAAGUUCCACGAUUUCUAUCUUAAUUGGUCCAGUUUGGUUGUGUACAUGAACAUCCAUGGCUUGCUCCUUAACCCAUGUUUAUUGCAGGUGAAGAUUCUUUCAAGAAAGGGACACUAACAUUAAUACUUGUGUAAUGUUCUCCUUGCACAACAAGAGAUGUAUGGGUAAAACAUAUAAAACUUUAGCCAAUCUAG
rnacentral:lncRNA from 1 species